UUCUAAUUAAAAUCAUAAUUGAAUUCUAAUGAAUUUUAAUCAAAUCCUAGGUCAAACUCUAAUUGAAACCUUAAAUAAAUCUUCAUCAAAUCUUAGGUCAAAUCCUGAUGAAACUGUAAUAAAAUCCUAAAUCCUAGAUCAACCUAGAAAAAAUCCUAAACCCUAACCAAAUCUUAUACAAAUUCUAACCUUAAUCAAAUUUUAGUUCCUAAAUCAAUCCUAAUCAAUUUAUAAGCAUAUCCUAAAUCUUAAAUAAAAUUCUUAACAAGCCUAUAAUAUAUUAAAAUUUUAAUAAGUAAUGCUUAAAUUUAUAAUUUUGACUCAAACUUUGCACACCUUGAAACAACUAAAUUAGCAAUAAGCACAAAAAAAUUGAAGAAGAUUGCACAAUCCAAUAGUAAGAAGAGCCCUCAAACUUCUUGAUUAUUGGCCACAUUUCUUCUAUAAAUUGAACAUUCAUCUUUGAAUAUAUAUUUUUCUUUGUUGAAUUGUUCAAUUGCUCUAAAAUUUAAGUUAUGUGUAGAUAUUCUAAUCUAAAUUUUUUUCACCAAUUUUUGCUUCAAUUGAACUAAUAGAUAUUGCCAAAUCACAAAAUCCUUCACUAAUCCUAAAUCUCAAUUAUCCAAGACCACAAUCCACAAAAACCUUCGUAUUCUUCAAUCUAAUAGCUCAAUUGAGCUUAAAUUUCUCAUACACAUUUAUAGCAAGUACAAAAACAAGUUACUCAAUUUUUAUUUUUAAACACACUAUAAAACUCACAAAAUCCCAAAAUUUGUAAUCUUUUUUUUAUUUCUCAAAAUUAAAUCCAUCAAAUACAUCAUUAAUUUUGAAAAUUUCUUAAAAUCUUAAUAUUAAUCCAAAUAAUAAGAAAACCAAUAUUUAAAAAUCUCUUCUUAGGUUUGCUCUCAAAUCUCAUUCUCUAAUUUGCAAAAGAACCCCAAAGUUGUCGUAGAUGUGCAAUUCUGUGCCUUAAGGUCGAAUUUCGACCUAGGUUAACAAUUGGUCUUCUUCAAGAAUAAAUAUUUGAUAAUUUGAGGUAAGUUUUUUUUUAACCUAUUUUUAAUUCUUUCCUAAAUUGAGAUUAUUUAUUUUGUAUCAUAACAUUAAAAAGAAUAAGUGGAAUCUUUUUUUAUAUUUGCAUCCAAAAAUUUGUAUUUCAUGUUUUAUUAAAUCAAGAAUUUGGAUUAGUUUUUUCUUUAUUUCUUAUUUAUUUAUUUAUUUUGAUGUCUCCUUUUGUUGUACUAGCCCAAGAGCAAUGGAGGUAAUGAGUCCGAGUGCAGAUACAUUGACUUAUAACAACAUAGACUUUGGCAUCCUACUGAUGAGUAAAGUUGUGCACAAGACCUCAUUUGUAUGAAGGCUUUUACUUAUAGUCAAGAUUACUACCUCCACAUCUAUGCUAUCUUCACAAAACCUUAAAAAAUAAAUACACAGAGAAAUAUUUCACCUCACUCAAUAUCCUCAAACUUAGGGGCAAUGGACAAAGCACAACAUGUGGUUGGUUUAUGUCACCCUACAGAGAACAAUCCAUGAAUAACAUACACACACUCACUCACUCACUCACAUACACAUACACACACUCACUCACUCACAUACACAUACACACACUCACUCACUCACAUACACACACUCACUCACUCACUCACUCACAUACACACACUCACUCACUCGUGUAAUACAAGUUUGAGGGUAGUCUUCUAAAGGGCCUCAAGAGAUAGUUUGAGACUCGUCACCACAGCUGGGAAGAUAAAAUAAAAAAAAUCUACAAGAAUGUGGGUGGCAUGGCAAAAACAGCCACACGCACCAACGUUAUUCUCAGCUUCGAGUUACCAUUGGGCUCCAACUGGUAUGCAACGCCCCAAAAAGCAAUCUCCUCGGAAAGUAUCUAGUGAAAAGCCAUCCAAAAAGGGACGGAGAUACUUUUCGUUGCUUCCAGGGGAUGUUUGGAUAAGCCCCCUGCACAGGAGUGUGAGAGGUUCUCAACGCCGUGGCUUCGCCUUCGCCAUCACUGCCGAGGGGAGCUCCUGCUCUGCACUCUAGUGGAGCGUGCGAACUCGGCCAGCACACUCCUUCUUCUGCUGGAUUCCUGCAGAAGCGCAGCUCGUUCCUUUUGUUUAUUGAGUUUUUGGGGAAUUUUUGGGAGUUGGGUUUUGGGGGUGGAUAAGGUUUAAGGGUUUUAGAGGUGUUUGGUUUUCUGGGUGGUGGGUCGUGUUUUUUUUUUUUUUUUUUUUUUUUUUUGUUUGUUCUUCACUACCCGAGAACAGGAAGGGAGGGAGUGGAGUCGUCAUCAUGCAAAGCUUGCAGAUACGGCUCGGGUUGAACUCACUUCAGGGCGGGGGAGAAGCAGCUGGAGCGCCAGGUGCCUUGUUGAAGUCGGAAUGGAAAGGAGUUGGGCAGCUAUUUGGGUUCAAUCCUUUGACAGUUCCAGUUUCGUCGCGCAAUUGCGUUACCAGAGCUGGAGGUAGUGAAUCCUCUCGUCAAUGUGUGAUUGAUUGCCUUUGUCUUUACUCCAAUGUGCAAUUUCACUCCCUUCAGAUUGUCUGGGCAACUGCGUGUAUUACCGUGUCAUGGUCCUGAAUACAAUUUUGGUUACGCGAGAUUGGGAGAGGGACUGCGCUUUCGGUCAGAUUAUUCAAUGGGUGAUGCGUUGGGCUGUGCUCAUGGUAGUUUACCUGUGUACUUGGUGGAAUCAGGACCCACUGUGCACCAACAGUCUAGGUCACGGCAGCACCGUGGUGGCUACGGUGGGCAUUAUGAGGGGCCAAAGCGGAGCAGAGACGAUGCAGUGACGCGAAAGAUGAAGUCCUUUCAUGAGGGGUCGGAUGGACCUCCACUUCGUGUCCUGCCGAUUGGUGGACUUGGAGAAAUCGGCAUGAAUUGUAUGCUUGUCGGAAACUAUGAUCGCUACAUUAUGAUUGAUGCUGGUCUUAUGUUUCCUGAGUAAGUUUUCGCCACUUAUCCGCCUUUAUCCUCCAUCUCAAUGAGAAGUGUGCGAGCGAAGUCAUGAGGCCUUAAUGUUAACGGAUGGUUUUUUUCUUCCGAAAGUCUAGCUUUUGCAAAUAUGCGCGACUGCAUUUGAUCAACGCAUGAGGGGUGCAGGGUUUAAGGUUUAGGGUUUAAAGGGAUUCAUAAGAGAGUAGGGUUACGAGUUCCUUGGUCUGCACAUAAAUGUUUGAGAAAUUGCGAGAUGCUAGCGAUGUACUUGGAGCAAGCUCUGAAGUCUCGUGGAGUCGUAUCCACCUAGAAUGUGGUGAUGCAGGCAGAGUUUUAACGCUGUCUGUUACAUCGCACAUGUAAGCGGUUUUAAGGUAUUUACGCGCUCAGUAUUAGUAAUUACGGUGCUGUUACUGUUGUUAAUCUAGAUUGGAAUUAAGAAACGGUAUUCUUGACCUCACAGCUAUGAUGACCUCGGGAUUCAAAAAGUGCUACCUGAUACUCAAUUUAUUCACCGUUGGAGAGACAAAAUUGAAGCUGUUAUCAUUACUCACGGUCACGAGGAUCAUAUUGGUGCUUUGCCUUGGGUAACUCAUUUACCUACCAACAGUUCCUGCCCAUUGGUUGAUGAAGUUUGUCAAGUAGAGUUGUGUAAAAUGUGCAACAAGAUUUACUAUUUAGAUGUUUGACCUUAGAAAUUGUGAUUUAUUUCACUGAAGGGAGCUCCUCGCGCCUUCAGGUUUUGUCUAUAAAUUUUUAUCCUAUUUCUGUUGGAACUUGAACAUUACGUUUCCAGGAAGCAGUAUUUGUAUUGAAUAAAAUGAUCAAUUGACACAUUGGUUCUGUAAGGUCGUAAGGAUAUAGAUGUGUAUGACAGGGAUGUUGAUGUAAGACUUCUUGAUCUGUCGUUUGGUGUUGCUAUGGAGAUUUAUUUGGUUUAGACGUUAAUUUUGCCAAUGUUCAUGUCACUUCUUUCAGGUGAUUCCAGCUCUUGACCCUAAGACCCCCAUUUACGCAACGGGCUUCACGAUGCAGGUAUUGUACCGCUCGUAUUUUCUUUUCACUUUUCUUGGCUAUCUAGUUUGAAACUUGUUUCAGUGGUUGCAUGUGGAUGUGGCACUCUCUGUUUGAUUUGAACUAUCAAUUCGGACCAUAUCUUAGGCUGUGGUAACAGCUAGUUGUUUUUCUUCUUAAAGUUAAUCAAGAGGCGUCUCAAGGAGUACAAUAUACCAGCGGAAGGCAGGUUACGCACCUUCAGCAUGCGCGCCCGUUUUGAUGCCGGUCCCUUCGAAAUUGAACCAAUUCGAGUUACACAUUCCAUACCAGACUGCUGUGGGCUUGUUCUGAGAUGUGCGGAUGGAACCAUUUUCCAUACUGGUGAUUGGAAGGUCAGUUUACCAUCUAUCAAUACUUUGUCUUAUCCAGAUGGUCUGACUAGUUAAAUGUAACCUACAUUUUUCGAGCAAUAUUAGAGCUUGUUUCUUCUAAACAUGUAGUUGGUAAUGAACAAACUUGUGGGUUCGAGUUGUCAAGUUCAAAUGCCCGUAUUUAGUCUCUUACUCCACUCAUCGCCAAUGAAUGCAUGCUUCUGAGGGUUCCUACUCCCAUAUAUUUUCCCCUGAAUUUAGCAGUCAACCGCCGCAGAUUGACGAGUCCCCUGUGGAUGGAAACGUUUUCGACCGUGUGGCACUGGAGCAGCUCCAGAAGGAGGGCGUGACUUUGGUCUGUUUCACUGAACAACUUCAAUUUCAAGAUUUUCAUUUAGAAGCUCAACCAUGUUGACUCUAUCAGCUUAUUAGCGCAGAAAAUGAUUCUCAUUCUUGGUAUACAUUCUUGGUCAUGUUUGUUUACAAUGUUUUUCUUUUUUGCCAUGUUUGACGAAAGACUUGGAUGUCUUGGACUUGUCCGUGUAUGGCUCAAGUGACAGAUUGUCAAAUGUGCAGAUGAUGAGUGACUCCACAAAUGUUUUGUCACCGGGCAGAACCACAAGUGAGGCCGACGUGGCAGAAGCUCUCAUGCGCAAAAUUGUUGAAGCGAAAGGUCGUCGCGUCAUCACGACUCAAUUUGCGUCAAAUGUUCACCGCCUAGGCUGUGUAAAAGCCGCUGCCGAAGUAUCGGGUCGGAAGUUGGUAAUUACUUCAAUGCUUUCUGCGAUUUACAAUUUGUAAGCAUCAUCUGUUUCCAUUUUCUGAAGUCAACGUGUUUCAUUGGGCUGUAGGUGUUUAUCGGACUUUCAUUGAAGACAUACUUAGAAGCCGCUUGGAGGGACGGACAAGCGCCAUUCGACCCCGCUAUUCUGGUACUGCCCAACGCUGUGCAUGUCCUCAUAUUUAUUAGCUGUUUCAAGCCCUGUAUGUUCAGCUUUAUUUGAUCCUGUUGCCAUGGCACAGCAUUCCCUUUGGGUCCGAAUGUUUUACAUCACGUACGUUUGAAAUGCUUUUCUUGGCUCAUAUCAAACGUAAGUCACAUUCACAUGUUAAUUAGAACUAGCUCCUACUGUUAAAAAGGCCUCAUCAUCCUGCAUGUUGACGUGUAGAAUGAUAUUCUCUGGAUUACGCAGGUGAAAGCCGAAGAUAUGGAUGCUUAUGCCCCAAGUCAGCUUCUUAUCGUGACUACUGGAUCUCAGGUUCUUCUCCGUUGUUUUUGCUACCAUAAACUUGCUAACUUGAGGUUGAGAUUCCGCUUGUUUUUUCUAGGUAUCGUUGGGUAGGCAUGAUUGAAAGCUGGUGUAAUUGUUUUUUGAACGGGAGUAUCUCUAUUGGUUCAGGCCGAGCCACGGGCAGCACUAAAUUUGGCUUCUAUGGGAUCCAGUCGUCUGCUCAAGCUUCACAAGGACGACGUCAUCCUUUACUCCGCCAAGGUGAUUUCAUUGACAUCUGAUGUUUGGUAACCUCGACGAUGUAUUGAAACUUCAACUUACCUCUAUCGGUUGAUCGAUAGGACUCUAAUAUGUCGUGUCCAAACAGAUGAUUCCAGGAAACGAGACUCGAGUAAUGAAGAUGAUGAAUCGUAUCGCAGAACUGGGGCCCAACCUUGUCAUGGGCAGGGGCGAGAAUCUGCACACUUCUGGCCAUGCAUACCGCGGGGAGCUGGUAAAUUUGUCUCAUCAAGAGCAUCCUCCCUUGUAUCACUCUUUCUUCCGUCUCUCAGCUUUGGGACAAAAUAAAGAAUGCAGCAACUGAUUCUGAGUCGAGUUGAACAAUCGUGGAUCCGCAGGAGUUUUGAUCGAACAUGUGUAUUGCGUUACAAAGUACUUGAUAAUCUAACAGGGAACAACACUGUGUGCAUUGAUUUUUGAAGGAGGAAGUUUUGAGACUGGUUAAACCGCAACAUUUUCUACCUGUUCACGGAGAAUUUGCCUUUCUGAAGGAACAUGAGCUCCUUGGCAAAGCCCAAGGUAUCAGACACACUGCAGUACGUCAUCACUUCCCAAACACCGAAUCUGCUCAUAUUUUUAUUAUGUGGUAAUUACUGUUGGAGAGGUUAGGAAAAUCACCAACGUGUCUUGAAUAGUUCACUUCUCAUCCUCGGGAAACUAAUUAUUUUUUAUCUUGAAUUUGUCUCAUAUGCUCGAUCCUGAAUUUAAGCACUUUUCAACUCUGCUGCAGGUUAUUAAGAAUGGUGAAAUGUUGGGAGUGGCUCCAUUGAGAAACGGUCGAGUACUCUCCAGUGGAUUCUCCCAGCUUGGCAGAGAAAAGUUGAAGGUUGCUUACAGUUUCGCUAUCGCCUUGCAUUUUGUGCCGGGGGGAGAACUGUAGUUUUAGGAACAAAUUAGAGUAAAACUGCGAGUUUGUAAGCUUGUGAUUGUUGGAUUCAAUUUCUCAUGGUUAUCGCUGUCAACUAUCUGACAAGUGCGGUGAACUGUUGCAGUUGAUGUAUAACGAUGGGGACAAGGCAUUCGGAACAGCAGCCGAUUUAUGCAUUCAAGAGCGAAUGAACAUUGCUUUGGAGGGUCUUGUUAUUGCCAGGUAGGUGUAAUAAUUUCGGCACAUAUUCAUCACUUGCUAAUUUGCAUGCAUCAUAAUUGGGACAAUUCUUUUGCGUAGCUCUGGGACAAUACGAUACUAGAUGUGCGUUGCAACUCUAUUUCUACUGACAUUAGUUGCGCGGAUUAUUUGGUAAUGUGCAGUGUAGAGGUUAUUCGUGAGGAAACCAAAUACCUCAAUGAAGAUGAGGUUUAUGAAGACAAAAUCUUGAGGGACGAUGAUGAUGGUGACGAAUUAGGACUGCAGGGAAGAGUCCGCAUUACCACCCGAUGUUUGUGGACGGACAAUGGCAAACUCUUAGAAUCUUUACAAAGGGCAGCUGAUGUGGCCCUUGCAAGCAGCAGAAAGGAUGCGAGACUGCCGACUAUUGAGCGACACGUUAGCGUGGUCCUCCGAAAAGUUGUUCAAAAGUAUAGCAACAAACGACCUGAUGUUAUUGUAAUUGCUACUGACGCUUCAGAUGGGGUUGUCCCUAAUAGAUCUUCUCCAGAGAGUAUCAACAAUUAUGACCAACCACGUAAUAAGCCGCAACCUUGGAAGAGAGCAGCUGAUUCAAUGUCAAGCUUUUCUAGGGGUGCCGUAGUAGGAACUGUAGAACCUGUAGACGAGGUUACUUCAAGAAGCUUCGUCGCGGAGGAAACAUCUGAAAGAAAUAAAGUAGUCAUUUCGUCACGAGUUCAAUCGGAAACCGUAUCUGCAAAAGCACAGCGUCUUUCUUCCGAAGGCGACGCGACUCAGAAGAAUGAACGAGUAAAAGCUGGAGAUGGAGGUGAAAUCUCGGCCACGUCGUCAGGUUUUUCUGAUCCCGAAGGUAUGUCAAGAUUUGUUGGUGAUCAAAUGUAUCCUUUUUUUCACCAUCAGAUAGUUCCAACGCUCUGUUAAUUUGUAUGAGAAGUCGAUUCUCUUUCUAGAGGACGGGGAUUAUGUGUAUCCAACUACUGAACCUCGGGUGGUUAUUUUUCUUUCUGACCUACAGAAUUCGAAAGCGAUGAGGAAAGUGGAGAUUCGGAUCAGGAAGCUGAUUCUGUUGCAUCUGAUGGAGCGGCUUCUAGCCUCUCACAAGAGUCUACAGAAGAGAUUGAACCUCAAAAGAAACGUCAAAAGUGGAGGUAUGGAGUCUUACACGCUUUUCACUAUCCCCUCGGAUACCAGCGUUCUUGGAGUUUUUCGUGCACGCGUCAAUGAAUUGUAUCACGGGCGGGCAGUCUUUACAUAAGAGGAUGCUGUAAAGAAAUGUCUUACUGUAGAAUUUAGAGAUUGUGUCGGCUCUUUAUGCUUUUGUCCUGAAAAAUAUAGAGAUCAUUUCCGCUCUUUAUGCUCACAGAACGGUCUAUACAGACAUGAUGAGACCAUUAAGCUCAUUGAAGUACGAAGUACGAUGGGAGAUCUGUUGGUGAAGGAGGGAAAGAAGAGGAGGCCAAGUUGGAAGGACAUUGCAGCCUCGCUCAGUGAAUCGGGCUUUGAGCGUAGCCCGGAGCAGUGCAGCUCCAUGUGGUCAUCUCUUUUGAAGAAAUACGAGGUAGUUAUCUACUCCUGCCCAAGGCUCUUGCUCUUAUUGUAAUCCAUGAAGUGCGGUGUUGUUUUUACCAAUAUACCGCCUUCGAUUUUGCCUGUUCCUGUUCAUCCAAUCGACAAAAUCGCCAGCUUUAUUUAGUUCCAUAAUUAUCAUACAACGUUGAUGUUUAAGUUAAUCAGGGACUCUCGUAAUACUCAAAUACCUAUCAUUUAGUGAAUUAUUUUUUACUCCAGUGACCUUUCUGUAGAAAUGUCGCUGAUGUUCCCAUGUGUGAUAACAGAGGCAGUGUUCUAAUUUUUCAAUUUGGGGCUAUGUGUGGGCUCAGGCAGUGGUCGAGGAAAAGAGAACAAGGGAUUCAAGUGUUCCUGCACCGAAGAAAGAAUGGGCUUACUUCGAAUUAAUGGACGCUGUGAUGCAAAAACUUGCCAAGACCGCUGGUUCACAAGAUGUGGUCAUAGAGAAAGCCAAGUCCAAGAAGCCUAAGCGGAAGUCCAAGAAACCCAAAGUAGAUGCAACUGCAGCAAUUGAUAGCACAGAAGUAGAACUCCCAGAUUCCGAGGACAGGCAGACGGCACAAUGAGGCUGCGAACUGUCUGGCUAUCUUAUCUGGGUUGAGAAUUUAUGUAACCAUCAUUCUUUCUCAUAUUGAUAAUCAAUGGGGUGUUUUGUGUUGUAACACCUGGUCUCGUGUGCAUACCAGGAUUUUCAAAAGGAUUGUUUGUUGUGUGAUUGCAAACAUCUCCAUCUCUUCAUUGUCACUGUAGACUCUUUUCCUCCUCCUCGCUUGCCUCGGCCUUUUGUUGGCCAUGGUUGCUCUUUCCUUGUCCUAGCCUCUUAUUAAUGCUAGCUGCACUCCUGCUUGUUUUUAUUGAUGGUUCGUUGUUAAAUGCUACCGCAAUCUCUUCCUAGAUCAAUUGGGUUUUGUUAUGUCUUUCACUAUCUGCAAAAUAGAUUUUUAUUUUUAUUUUUAAUUUUAACUGAUAUGAUAACGAUAGACGACAGAUGUAAUGCCAGCACAAGAUGUUGGUUGUUUUGGUUUGAAUAGCACAAGAAAAUUACUAACGUCCAAACCUCACGUUAUGAAUCUCAUUUUAUCAUUUUGGUCAAUCUUAUUGUUUGAUGUAUGCAUGAAGUUUGUGUGCUGUAAAUUAUUUCAAAAUUGUUAAUUAUUUUAGCUCAUCUUAAUUUGCUUGACUUUUAUUUUUUUUAUUCAAACUAAUGAAACCUAUAUCUUUUAACAAAUCUAAAAUUAUGUCUAUCUUUCUUGUUAUUAUGUAUGUACAUUACUGAUACUGUACUUGAUCAUUUUUAACUUUUGUAAUUUUAUAAAUCUAUGUUUUUAGUUUGUAAUUAUAGUGUUUAAAAUCCUUGGAGUAAUGUCUUUCUGAUGAUAUUUGUGGGUUGUUCAUUGUUUGUUAUAUACUCCAUUAAUAAUAAAAAAUGCUUUUAUUUUUAUUUUUAUGUAGGUCUAAAAUUUGUUAAGAUAUUUUCAUUCUUAAGAAAAAAAAAAAAAAAAACAAAAAAAAACAAACAGAUAUUAUUCUUAUAUCUUCUUAGAUUUGUAAUUCAACAAUUGAUAUUAUAUCCUCACAUAGCAAAGACUUUUUAUCAUAACAGUAAAUACAUUAGUUAAAAUGAUAAUCUUGCAUACAAACUCAUGGAGAUAUAAUUUUAGAAGAAGAAAAUUAAAGUAAUUACACAAAUAUUAUUAGAGCUUAAAAACUAGACAACUUUUUGUUGCAUUUAAUUAUUUAUGUAUUUGUUUAUUCAUCUUUUCAUAAAAAAAACCUCAUACAUUUCUUAUUUACAUUUAUGGUUUUUGGUGGAUAACACAUUUAAAUAUCAACAAUGUAGAUAUCUACAACACAAAAUAAAUUAAAAAAAUAUUUAUGAUUAGUAUUAGCUCUGAAACCGUUUGUGAAGAUCAAAAAUCCAACAUAAAAAUUAAUUUGUGGCAUUGCAUAUAGUGCAAUUUAAAAUUUUAAUGCCAUAAAAUAUGCCACCUAAGUUCUGGUUUUUCUUGUCUUUUAACAAUGUCGUUCUAUGUAUGAAUUAUAUAUAUACACAUACAUAUAUAUAUAUAUAUAUAUAUAUAUUUUCAUUGUUAUUUGUGCUGUUGUUAAUAUUUUUUUAAAACUAUUUUAUUCAAUAAACUUUGGUCUACUAUGUAAGCAUAUUCUAAUAUUUUAUCUAAUUCUUAAAGAAAUUUUAAAUAAAAAAGAAACAUCAAAGGUUAAAAACUUGUGAAAUAAAAGGUUUAAUUAGAAAUAUACAAUAUUUAAGAUGAAAUAAAAUAAAAUAAAAUAAUUAUAUCAUUUGUGUUGCAAAAACAUUGACAAGUAUUUUUGUAGAGUGUUUUUGUUAUAAAGCCAUACUUAGAAGAUUACUAAUUAUUAAUUUAUGAUACAACUUUUAACAUAUUUUAUUUUUUAAUAUAAUAAUUUUUCCUUAUUUUAUUACUUAAAUUUUUUUAUAUAGAUUUAGUUGAUUUAUAAGAAAUAUCUACUUAAAGCAAAUCAAGAUACAAUCAUAAGUUUUAUUUUAUUUUAUUUUAUUUUUAAUAUAUUAUAGACAUUUUCAUGUAAUAACAUGGCCAUUAGAUGAAAGAAGAAGGUUUUAUUUAUUUAUUUCUAUUAUUAUUAUAGAAGAACCUAGUUAAAAGAUGUAGGAGAAAAACAUAGAUAAACGAUAGGAAGUUAGAAAAAUCUCAUAGUAUUAGAACUACCUUUUCUGAAAAUAGAUUCUAUUUACUUUGUACAACCAUAUAUAAGGAAAAACAAGGUAGAUUAGAAAAAUGAAGAAUAUGUAAGCAUAUGUAGAAAAUGUAAGCAUAUGUAAGAGGGAGUUAGAAGUUGAUUUUAGCAAAAAUUACCUCAAAAAAACAAGAGUUGAUACCCAAAGAGGAUCAAUUGCCAACUAGGAUCAAAAUCAGACCACAAGGCACAAAACCAAGUACCUAUGCUAUUUCUGGGAUUUUUUUGUCAAUUAGAGAGUGGGAUUUGAAGAAAGAUUAGAGAAGAGAUUUUUAAGAGUUAGCUUCAUGUUAUUCAAAUUAAUAUUGAGGUUUUUGGAGAUUUUCAAAGUUAGUGAUGUAUUUAAUGGAUUUAGAUUUUGAGAAAUAAAAAUACAUUUAUAAGUUUGAGGGUUUUUUUUUGAAUUUUUUAGCAUAAGUACAUGUGAAAAUUUGAUAAUUUUUUUUAUGCUUAUUAUGAAUGUGUGUGAAAAAUUUAAGGUCAAUUGAGUGGUUAGAUUGAAGAAUACAAGAGUUUUUGUGGAUUAUCAUCUUACUUAAUUGAGAUUUAGGAUCAAUGAGGAAUUUCAUGAUUUGACAAUAUCUGCCAAUUAGAUUGAAGCAAAAUUUGAUGAGAGCAAUUUAGACUUUAAUAUCUAUAUGUAACUUAAAGUUUGGAGCAAUUAAAUAGUUCAACAAGGAGAAAUCUUUGUUGAAAGAUCAACAUUCAAGUCGGAGAAGGAAAGUGACCAAUAACUGAGAGGUUUUGGGAGCUUUUCUUACAAUUGGUAUUUGCAAUCUUCUUGAAAUUUUUUUGUACUUAUUGACAACUUAGUUGUUCCAAAGUUUGCAAAUUUUUGAAUCAAAAUCAACGAUUCAUUAAAAUUUGAUUAGGAUUGAAUAGAAUUUGUUUAGAGUUUGAUUAGGAUUUGUUAGGAUUUGGAUAUGAUUUCAUUAGGAUUUCAUUAAGAUUUGAUUUAAGAUUUGAUUAGUAUCAGUUUAAGAUUUUAUUAAGAUUUUUUAAGAAUUACAUUAAUAUUUGAUUAAGAUUCAAUUAAAAUAUCUAUUUUUGAUAUUUUUUAAAGUUUUUUAUAUUAUAUAGAUUUCAUUAAAAUUAUUUUAUUAUUUCUUUAUAUUUUUUUUGUAAAUUCUUGAGACUUAUUUUGGAUUUAAUCAAAGAUUGAUUAGUAUUAUUAUAAUUUAAUUGGAUUUUAUUGAAGAUUCUAUUAGAAUUGUUAGAGUCAUCUUAGUGCAAGUUCCAUUUUUUCUUCUAGACCCAGGUAUCUAGUGCAUUUUGAAGCAGACUUUACAUAAUAUGACAAUGUUUUCUAUAGAGACAAGGAAUGGAUUAGGCACAAAUCUUGUGCCAUCUAAUGAAAACAUAAACAAACCAUAAUUGUAAGACCGAACAUGAAUAUUAUGUGAACUUGCUCUAAUAUAAAAUUGACUGCUCAAACAAGCCUCUCCAAGUAUUGAGGUAUUGUAAGCUAAAAUAAACCUCCAGUAGUUGGAAGUUUAUUCUAAUUCUUAACAAGUGAAAUAACUAUGUGAAUUUCAGAGGUUAUAGCUAUUAAUUAAAUUCUAAUUACAUCACUCUUUAUUCUUCUUGAAUAAUCCAAGCAAUGAACCUAAAAUUCUAUUACCAACUCAAUAUUCUAUUACUUACAAAUAAUAAGUCACUGAGCAAGUUCCAUGCAAUUAAAAGAACAAAAUAAUAUGAUUUUUAUUUUAUUAUUUAUUUUAUUUAUUUAUUUAUAUUAUUAUUUAUCUUAAUUUAGUUUUUUAAAAAUUAAAAUUCAUCAAUUGACAAAAUUUCAUCAUUGAAUGAUAUUUCAUCCUUAAAUUAAUCCUCAUCCAAUUUUUUCAUCUAAAAAAAAAAUCCUAAUUCAAUCUAAGCCUAAUUAAUUUCUUCUUAACCUAGAAGCUUUUAUGAAUUUUGAAAUUACCUUGCUUACAGUCUUAUACUGAUAACAGCCUGUGAAGAAGAGCCCCUCCCUCCAAUUCCUUGCACUUCGACUUUUUAUCACCAUUCUUAACACAAAGAAGUUUGAACAGAAGAAGUCUAGAUCAACUUGAUGCUCCACAGCGCUCACAUCUUAAAAUACCCGAUUGCAGUUCUUGUGCUAAAUGGAAUUGCGAUGCUGCAAUGCAACAACCAGGAGCUCUAGAAUUGUCUCGCAUGGAAAUCCAAAUGGACGAUUCGUGGCUUCUAUGGCACUAACAAGGAUUCAAAACUUGAAAGCACCAGACCUACUAUGCUUGAGGAAGAAAAUGCCCGCCCUGGCAAAGAAUCGACGUCAAAAUUUUCUUAGCUCCAAUUCUAUGGUUGUGUAUGUCAUCUUUCACCCAAGCAAAAUGAGACUUUAGUCACAUUACCAUUCGGAGCUUGUGAUUAUAUUUGCCAGUUCAUAAACCCGUCUCAAUUUCCUGAUUCCCUUUGUUUUGAUUGUCUUAGCAGCGCCGUAAUUAGUCUUGUAAACAACGAUUACGAAGGCAAUCAGUUUCAGCUCAUAGCUUUCGACCACACUAGUUCUAACUGCUUACUGCAAGAGCUUCUUGCACUGACACCCCGCUCAGCAACAAUUUGCAGGGCAGUUGCAAGGAACCUUGCCUUGCUUGAGAUUGAUCCAAGACUCCAAAGCCUCGUUGAUGCCAGACCUAGACGACUACCAUUGCGACGUUGUCCAUCGCCAACUACCAAAAAGAUGCAGAUCAGUUUGAGACUAGAAGAAAACCACGUUGUUGGACUGCCGCACCCUCCAACAGCAAAACAAAGGGAGAAAGAAAUGAGAUCCGCACGUACACCAUAGUUCUUUUGAUACCGAGAAAUACGCCACCGACGUCUGAAUGUCGCAACACCAAUAAAAAGAACCACUGCCAAGUCUGCAACAUGCAUAACAUUUUGCAGCCAUGCAGAUUUGACUCCAACGAGCAAACCAGUUUUUGCCCCCUAUAGCUGCUUAAGCAUAACUUGACCAGAGGGGAAUUUAACACAACCGUUGCCAAUCGUAACUAGGCUAACAAAAAACAGAAAAAACAAAAACAAAAACAAAUUUAGGGAACGGUGCAAAUACUCUCGCCACACAUUGCUAUGUAAAAACACGAUAGAAUAGCCACAGCCCACUGCAACCUGAACCUCUAGAAAGACAAAAAAAACUGAUCACCGUGAUCAGUGCUAUCGACAGCAACCAGAACUACUACGAGCUAGGAAGAACUGAGGGCACCGCCACUCCUUGAAUGUCAAUGCUUCCGUUGCAGGACAUCCGAACAGGAGCUCCACACUGAUCACUUAAAGAAACCAGGAUGCUGCAUCACAUCACCUCAAGCGAACCAAAAACCCAGCAGUAGUAGUACACACACAUUGGGAAAAAAACUGAGAGGAAAAAUUCCGUCUCAAUCACAGCCAAAAUCUGCACACAAAACACUUGAAAAAACAAAGAAAAAGACUUCUGUAGCCGCCCCAGACCAUAAAACCCACAGGAGCAAUGUUGCACUGCAGCAAUUCCAUGGAACAACUUAGUCAGAAAAAAAAUGCAAGGGAAGUACCAAUGCCUCCCUCUACAAAUUUCCGAGCUCCAUCCGAACAUCUAGAGGAGAAAGGAAAAAAAAUAAAAAUAAAUCAGAGGAAUGCGGUUAAAAUCCAGAACUACCCGGACCCCUGCGGCCCUCCAGAAAAUCCAGCAAGUAAUCCCCCCCCCCCCCCCUUCUCUUCUUUUCUGCAUUUUUCUUCUCAUUUCUCUUCUCUCCUCUCUCUUUUUUCUUUCUUUUGUUCCUUAUUUUAUUUUAUUUUUUCCACUUUUUUCCACUUUUUUCUUUUGGAUUGACUUGUAUCAAAGAUCCUUCUUAGCUUUUAGUCUAAUUAAACAUUUUACUAUGAUAAAACUACUAUUAAAAUAUCAUAAUUCAUAUUAACUAAUUUAAAGGAAAAAUGUUUGUUUUAGAAUUUCCUCUCAAAAAUUCUACCAAAACCUCUCCUUAUAACUUUCAUUUUAUUAUUUUUCUAUUUAUCUCAAAACUCCUACACUAAUUCAUUAAACAAGUGACUUUAAACACCAUAAGUCCAUUUUUUAUACUAAAAUACACCAAUGUAUCAAUUUUGUGACUCAUAGAUAUACUUUGUUGGUAUUGAGCUACGUAUUCCUUGUAUAUUGUAAAUAUUCUUAUCCAAAGUAUUUUCCUAUUCCAUUGCUGAGUUGCUCUGCUUCUAAGCUUUUACUUAUCUUUCGUGGAAUUCCAACUCUAUGCAUAACAUGAAAUCAAUCUCAAUUAGUCAUGCAUAAUGGAUUAAGUAUUAUGAACAUAUAUUUAGUAUAAUUGUUAGUUAGGUAAUAUGAAUAGGUAGCUAUAGAUAAAAGUAGAUUAAUUUCAUAAUAUCUUCUAAAAAAGCUUCUUAGAAGUUUCAUAGACAUUGUUUUGACUUAAUAUGUAUUUGUAGUUGAUUGAUAGAUUAGAAACUUAGUCAAUAAAUUAACCACAUGCCACACAUGUUGAUAGCUUGUCGAACAAAGUAACUAUAUGAUGCUUAUAUAAAAAACUUACCUUGCAAGUUAAGAUAUAUGUCAUUCAAAGUCAAUACAUUUUGGAGGUCCUAUAGAACAUUGCACAUAGUUCUUAGAUAGAUAGUGUAUGUAAAGGUAAGAAUAAAGCCUUCUUCACUCUUGUCAAUUCUUUUUUUGCUUGUAGUCUAGUUUCAAGAAGUCUCUAAUUUUAUUGUUUUUUGGCAAUAUCCAUUCCAAUUUCUUUUUAAUAUACAUACUUCUUUAUUUUUAUUUUUUCAUACUUUUUAAAGAAAGUCUCACUUAUUUAUUUACUUUCAUUGAUUUCUUAUCCUUGAUAGAUUGAUAAAAGUACAAUUAUAAUAUCAAAGCUUUGUCUUUCUUAAUUAAGAGUAGAUUAUCCUUUUUUCUUGAUACGACAUAAGUGUAGUAGAAGUUGUAGAUUAUCCUCUUUUAAAUUGAAAUUAUCUUUUACUAUUUUCUUUCUUAUGAAGUUCUUUCUUUUAUUUAUCUUAAGCAAUAUUAGAUAUCUCUUUUCUUCUAAUUAUUAUUAUUACAAAGCUUGUCAAAAUGAAGAGUGAAAUAAUAUAAAUGCAAGAACAAUUGAGGGAGUUAAUGCUUGCAAUGCAUCAACUCAAUUUAUUACCAUAAAGAAGAAUAAAAAUGACAAAAAGUAGAGAUAUAGAGAUGGUUGAAGUUGCUUCAGCAUUUGCACCAAAUUAAAUCCCUUCUCUUAUAGUGGAACACUAUUUAAGUACUAGAAAAUCAAGAAUUGUCUUAUUUGAGAAAUUUGAUGGUACUAAAUCAAAGUUUCAAAGAUUCAUCAAUCAAGUAUAAUUGGUAAUUGAACUUCAAUUCCAAAGCUAUCCAAUUCAAAGAUCAUAAGUUAAGUUUAUUUGUAUAUUACUUUUUGAUUUUGUAUUAUCAUGAUUUUUAUCUUUUCUUAAAGAACAUGUCUCAAUAUUGGACAAUUUGAAAACUUUUUUGAUAGAGUAUUGAUCCAUGUAUGAAAAAUAUGAUAUAAUUCAUAUUGCAACAAAUAAGAUUCAUAUUUUAUGACAAAAAAAUCAAUUUGUAAUAUUAUAUGAUUCACAAUUUAGACAACUUAUGAUUGAUAUGAAGUGGGAUGAUGGUGCAUUCAUUAACCAAUUUAUAAUGAGGUAUUAAUAUUAUUGAUAUAUAAAAAUAGAUAAUUAGAGAUAUUUUUAGAAAUAUUUUUAGAAAUUUCUAGAAUUGAGAUUAGGUUGGUGGUCCAUAAGGGAUCCAUUAUAGAAUAUUCUAGAAGGACUUAAGGUGAUUAUUUAGAUGGAACCAACCUUUAUAAUCUUCUAAAAGGAGUAAUUAUUUUAGUAUGUCUUCCAUUAAGAACAUUCUAGAAAGUCAUAAGAAAGUUGAACAAAGUGUAAAUAGGAAUGGACAAGGCUAUUUGGAUAUUCUGUUAAAUAUUGUUUUAGAUCCUUCUUUUCAAUAAGGGUUGAUUUGUAUUUUUUUUUGUUUUAUUUUAUUUUAUUUUCUUUUUCUCUAUUUUACCUUUCAAUAUUUCAUUCUAUUUAGUUUUAUUUAGUUUUAUUUAGUUUUAUUUAAUUUUAUUUUGGUCUCCUCUGUCUUACAUUAUGAUAGAAUUUAUCUUGUUGUAGAUUGAAAGGAUUUUAGAUCUUAGAGAAAGUUUAGUCUUGUUUCAUUGAUAUUAAAACAAGUAUUAGCAUGGUCAUUGAUAGUGUAUUGAUAGCCACCAUCUAGUUGGAGAUCAAUUGUUGUGGUGACAUUGAGUACUGUUUUGAGGCUACCAUGAGCUAUUUUAAAAAAAUCAAUUGAAAAAAAAGAAGAUGUUAUAGUAGCAAAGUCUUACAAAGAAAUUAUAGCAUGGAAGAUAUGGUAGAGCUAUCUUAAAUAGAAGCUUAGAUAUAAUACCUCUUAGAUUAGAUAGCUACUUUAAAAAGAUAAAUACAAGCCUUUAGGAUAAAGAAGUUGACAUCUACUAGAUUGAAAUCAACUAAGUUCAAUACAUAUUUUGAAACUUUAAAGUAAGAAGAUAUAUGCUACUGGCUCUUUAAUAUACAAAAAUACCUCUAGGUAUUUGGAGCAAACACCACUAAAGGAAUUUUGUAUGCAAUGAACUAUUUGAGAAGUAUGGCAAUCAUUUGGUAGCAAUAUUAACCUCAAAAUUGUAGAACUCAAGGUAGAUUUUGUAAGUGAGAGGAAUUUGAGACUGAACUUAAGAGUCAAUUUUUGUCCAUCAAUGUAAAGAAGUUAGCAUGCAAUUAGUUAGCUAACUUUAUACAAUCUAGAUCAGUGCAAGUUUAUGUAUCUUGAUUCAAAUCUUUAUAUCUCUAAAUUGACAAUGUUUCAAAGAUAAAAAUGAUGGAUUGAUUUAUACAAGGAUUGAAACUUAUAAUUUAGUAAGAAGUUGAAUUAAGAAAUUUACAAAUAUUUUUGGAGGCAGUUAAGAUUGCAAAGAUGAUUGAUGCUAUAGAUUUUAGAAACCAUAGAAUACAACCUAUAGCGUGAAGUCCUAUAUUGCUAUUCAAUACUAUGGCACAACAACCAACACCAAUGGAGAUUAAUGCCUUACAAAAACCAUUGAUACUACAGAGACAACAAAUAUUGGUGUAGAAGGAAUUAUAUUUCUAAAGUGAAAAGCCAAGACAUCAGAUUGGAGAUUGUCAAAAACAUCAAAAUUUAGGUACCAACAAAUGAAAGAAGGUUUAAAAUUUUGAGGCUCACUAAGUUGAUAAAUAAAUAGAACAAGAAAACAAGAAUCCUUAGUAAAAGCAUCAAGGGCUAAUAUUAGAGAUAGUUGCUAUCUUUGAGAGACAAACAACAUGGCCUUGGACAAACUAUUAGAAAGAUUAGCUGGUAUAUUUAAUGGAUUGAUUAAGAAGAUAGCUAUAUCAAAUGCUUGUAGAUUAUAGCUCUAUAAAAAAUUACAUCUUGAUUGAAAUUGUCGACCAACUUGGGAUUAAAAUCAACAUGAUAAAAUAAGUAAGUAUAUACCUAACAAAUGAUUAAAAAAAUAUAUUGAGUGAAACAUGUAAAGAAGAAACCUUGAGGUUGAAUGACACCUAUGCCUUGAAAAAGGAGUUCAAGAUAAUAAAGCUUAGAUAUGAUGUUAACUUUGAUAUGCUAUAGCUAGAAGUAGAAAAUAAGCAAGUUGAUUAGCUAGCAAAGACGAUCUUCAUAAAAGAUGGUAGAUGCAAGAUAAAUCUUUUAGCCUCUACAUCAAAUAAGAUAGAAAAAUUAUUUGCCCUUAAAGGCUUAUUUAUAGGGACAAUAUUUAUAAAAAAAAAUGUGGUAUAAGAAACCAAUAUAUGUAGUAGUUCCAAAUCUUACUUUAGUGGUAGAAAAGACAACCAAAGAAGUAAAACAGUGUCAUAUUGUAACAUGAUUAUAUGGUAAAAGAUGAUAAUAUGGAUCUUAUUAUAGAAGAGCCAAGUUAAAAGAUAAAGUAGAAAAAUAUGGAUAAAAGAUAAGAAGGUAGUAAAACUUUUAGUAGUAAUGCACCAUUUUUAGAAAAGUGACUUCUACUUACUUUGUAGGGCCAUCAAUAAAGCAAAAUAAAGUAGAUUAGAAAAAUUAAUAGUAUAAGCAUCUUUAAAAAGAAAUUGAAAGUAGUUUCUAACAAAAAUUAUCUAGAAAAGCUAUAUAUUGAUACUCGGAGAGGACCAAUUAUGAACCAGGGUCAAAAUCAAACCUUGAGGCACAAAACCAAGCUCUGGCAAUGAUUCUAGGAUUCUUUUGUAAAUCAAAAGAUAGGAUCUAAGAGCUAAAUUGAUAGAUUUUCUUUGAGUAUUGAUUUGAUAUGAUUUGAGUAUGUAUUGACUUUGUAAGAACUUUGCAAAAUUGGGAUUUGUUUUGGAUGACUCUAGAUGUAUGAAAUAAAGUAGGUGAUAGCUUUUGGAGAAUUUUAUAAGUUUGGUAAUAGAAUUGCAAGUAAAAUUUUGAGAGUUUGUGGAUAUAUAUGUGUUUAAUAUAUGCUAUGAGUUUUAUCUUGAUCGAAGGGUUGGAUCAAGGCUUAUUGAGGUUUAAGUGGGUUAGAAACUUAAGAAAUAGAGUUUUAGGUAUAGUAAGAAUUUCUUAGAUUACUUGCAAUCCAUCAAUUAUAUUGGAGUGAAAAUUAUGCAUGUGAGUAAUAGACUUAUUUUUUUACAUAUGUGCGAAAUUUGAGAUCAAUCAAAUAAUUCAAUAAGGAGAUAUUGAUGCUGAAAAUUCAACAUUUAGAUUAAAGAAGGAGGCUAGCCAACAUCCGAGCAAAUAUUAGGAUCGAUCUUCUUUUGAAUGAAUUCAAUCUUCUUCAAAACUUUUGUGCUUGUAGUCAAAUUAAUUGUGAAGAGGUAUGCAAAUUUUGAGUUAAAAUCUAUAGUUUAUUCAUUAGUUAUUGAGGUUUAAAUCUACUAUAGGAAAUUACUUGGAUUAUUUAGGGUGUAGUUAGGGUAUGUUUAGGGUUUGAUUAGGAUUUCGUUAAGAUUUGCUUAAGUUUGUUUAGAAUUUGGUUAAGAUUUUUUAGGAUUUGACUAGGAUUUGAUUAGGAUUUUUUUAGGAUUGAUUAAGAUUUAAUUAGGAUUUGAUUAAGAUUUGAUUAGGAUUUGAUUAGGUUUUUAUAAAGAUUUGAUUAGAGUUUGGUUAGGAUUUGUUUAUGGUUUGACUAGGAUUUGGUUAAGAUUUGGUUAGGAUUUGAUUAGCAUUAGUUUAGGAUUUGAUUAGGAUUUAUUUAGGAUUGACUAAGAUUUGGUUAAGGUUUGAUUAGGGUUUGAUUUGGAUUUGAUUAGGAUUUGAUUAGGAUUUGAUUAGGUUUUGUUUAAGAUUUGAUUAAGGUUUGGUUAGAGUUUGGUUAGAAUUUGGUUAGGAUUUGACUAGGACUUGGUUAGGAUUAGUUUAGAAUUUGACUAAGAUUUAUUUAGAGUUAAUUAGGAUUUGAUUAGAAUUUGGUUAAGACUUUAUUAGGAUUUAGUUAGGAUUUGGUUAAGGUUUGAUUAAGAUUUGAUUAGGAUUUGGUUAGAUUUUAUUUAGAAUUUGAUUAGGAUUUAUUUAGGAUUGACUAGGAUUUAGUUAAGAUUUGUUUAGGAUUUGAUUUGGAUUUGAUUAGGAUUUGAUUAAGAUUUUAUUAGGAUUUGAUUAAGAUUUGAUUAGAUUUUGUUUAAGAUUUGAUUAGAACUGAAUUAAGAUUUGAUUAGUGUUUCACUAAGGUUUGGUUAGAAUUUGAUUAGAAUUUGAUUAGGAUUUGAAUAGGGUUUGGAUAGGAUUUAUUUAGAAUUGACUAGGAUUUGAUUAGGAUAUGAAUAGGGUUUGAAUAGGAUUUAUUUAAGAUUGACUAGGAUUUGAUUAAGACUUGAUUAAGAUUUGAUUAGAAUUUGAUUAGGAUUUGAUUAGGAUCUAGUUAGUAUUUGAUUAGGUUUUUUUAGAGUUUGAUCAAUAUUUGAUUAAGAUUUGUUUGAAAUUAACUUAGUAUUUGGCUAUGAUUUAUUAGGAUUUGAUUAGAAUUUGAUUAGGAUUUAGUUAAGAUUUGAUAAUGGUUUAUUUAGAGCUGACUAAGAUUUGGUUAAGAUUUGAUUAGAAUUUGAUUAAGAUCUAAUUAGGAUUUGGUUAGGAUUUGAAUAAGAUUUGAUUAGGAUUUGAUUAGGAUUUGAUUAGGAUUUGAUUAGAUUUUUUUUAGGAUUCGAUUAGGAUUUAGUUAGGAUUUAUUUAAGGAAUCAUUAGGAUUUGGUUAGGAUUUAUUAAGAUUUGAUUAAAAUUUGAUUAGAAUUUAAUUAAGGUUUCUAUUUUAAUAUUUUAUUAAGAUUUUUAUUUUAGUAUAUUUUUGAAUUUCUAUGUUCUUUUUUAUGAUUUCUUUAAAGAAUAUUUAAAAAUACUUUGUAUUUCUUACAUAAUUCCUUUGCAAUUUUGAUUGAAUUUGAUUGAUAUUUGAUUUUACUUGCAAAUCUUUAAUUAUAAUUUGUUUAAGAAUCUAUUAGAGUUGUUAGGACUUGUUGUUACAAUUUUCCUUUUAUCUUCCACAGCCAGGUGUCUGGUGCAUUUUCAAGCCAAACGCCACAUAAUACAACAUAUUUUGGUGAACUUGAUGUGAAAAGCUUGAGGUGGAAGGUAUUUCAAUUUUUUUUUUGAUUUAUUUGAAUUAUAGAGAAAGAAGGCAAGAAGAUAGAAGAAAGAGUUUUUGAUGGUGCCUCAAGUAGAGUUGGAAGUGGUGCUUGAAGUGGAGUUGGAAGAAGAGCUUCAACUAGAGGAUAAGGUAUAUAUUUUGACCUCACCUUUGUAAGCAUGUUUGAGGCAUUUGCCUUAUUCAUGCAACAACAAAAGGUUAAAGAUUACAAAGAAGGUAUGGCAAACAAAGCAUUAUAAGUAGUUGUAGAGAAAAUUGAUCAAUUUGAAGGGAAGGAUAUUACAAAGUAUUUAAGGUGUUAUGUAAAUGAAAUGGAAUUGAAGCAUGUUUCUGAAAGGGAGAUGAUUCAUUUAUUUGAAUUAGCUAUUGCACCAGAAAUAAGAAGUCAUGUGAAGUCUAUUAUAGGAUAAUUUGGAGGUUCAUUGAAAAAUUUAUCUCAAGCAUUGAAAGAUAAGUAUUUUUUAGAAGAUAGUGAUAAGGUUACAAAAAAGCUAUUUUUUGAGUGGAUUGAAAGACCUAAGAAGGAUCUCCAAGCAACAAAAUUAUUAAGAGAGUUUGAAAGGUAAUAUUUGUCUUCAUCAAAAAAUAAAAGAUAAUUAUUAAAUCCAAGAAAAGUGGAGUUGUUUCUUCAAGCAACUGAUGGAGAAUUACAAGACAAGUUGGAAAUUUUUCUUAAAGAUAUAGAAGAAGAAGAAGAAGGAUUGACAAUAAAUUGAAAGAAAGUAAAAGAGGCAAUAGGAUUACUUGCAAAAUGAGAAAGAAGAAAAGACAAGGUGGGUGUUCAAAAACCAUUGCAAGAAUCUAAGGCAAAAAUACAUUCUACUCAUUCUAUAUCUGUGACUCAACCUUCAAUGUCUAUAUCAAAAAAAGAAAAAAAUAAGCAUAGAUAAAAUCAUACAUGGGAUAAGAGAUUUACAAAUUAAAUUUACAAAACUUGAGGAGAAAGGCCAAACAUCAAGAAUGUCAACAAGACAAAAAUUGAGACCAAUGGAAGGUAUAGUGCAUAUGUGCAUGUGGUGUGAUAGUAUAGAUCAUUCAAGAAGAGAGUGUAAAGCUUUUUUAAAGGCAUUAUGCAAAAGAAUUUUUUUUUUUUAAAGAUGGUAUGAUAUACUUAAAAGAGAGUGGAGAAAAUUCGAGACAAAUUUUGAUAAAAGAAGAAUGAAGGUGUUUGUGGAAGAUGCUUUUAAAGUACAUACAAUUUCAAGCAAUGAAGCAUCAACAUUUUGGUUGGAGAAAAUUCAAGCAAAUGUUUAAGUAUAAAUCUUGAAUAUCAAGGAAAAUCUAGUUCUUUGUGGUUAAGUAUAAUAAAUUAUGCUAAAAAGGAAAAAUUUACUAGAGAUGAUUUAAAAAGUGUUGGCAAUAAUAUUUGGUAAAUUAUUGGAUGGGAUGAUUUAGUAGAUAGAUUAUCGGUUCAUAUUCAUAUUACAAAGAGUCAAUAUGAAGCAUUAAUAGAAGAAAAACAAAGGAGAGAUGAAAAUCACAAAAGGCCAUCAAAAAGAAUCACAAGGAGAGAAAAAACACGACAACAGAAGAAUCCUAUGCAUGAAGAGAGAACAGAGAAUAUUUCUAUAAAGAAAAAGGAGAUUGUGAAAGAAAAAGUAAAGGUUCUGCCUUAUAAAUUACAAUUAGAUAUAGAAGCUGCUAUAGAUUUGAAGAAGAUAUUGGAAGAGCGGAUUUUAAAUGGAAAGGUUGAAUUUAUAAUUGGUGAAAUUCUAAGAAUUAUAAAACAAGAGUUUCAUGAAGUUAUUAUUGAUACAAUAAAAAGAAAAUGGCAAUCUAUUGGUGAUACUAUGAUAUCAAAUGCACAAGGUAUAAAUGCAAUAAGAAGCAAUGAAGAUGAGGAAGUUGAAAUGCAAAUUAUUAGAGAUGUUUCACAAGUCAAAUUUACAAGGAAUGAAGAUAUGUUUGAAGCUUCUAGUCAUUAUUCUUGAAGUUAUUGGACAAGAGCUACUAUAGAAACUUUAGUAAAAUUGUAAGAAUUAGAAGAAUCAAUUGUAGCAUUGAUUGAUUAUGGUUCUAAAAUCAAUUUAAUGUCAAAAAAAUUGUAUAAAAGGAAAAAUUGGCCUAUUGAUAUUGAGCAUGGGUGGAUGAUAAGAGGAGCAAAUAAUUCAAAGGGAGAUUUGUGUAAAACUUGUCUAAAUAUCAAGGCGACAAUAAGAGAUGUUAUUCAUGAAGAAAAUUUCUUUGUGCAAGAUAUGUCUACAUAUCAUAUUAUAUUGAAGCAACUAUAUAUUACUGCCACACAAAUGGAGAUAAAGGUUAUGGAUGAUGGAUCAACUUAUGCAUGGAUAAGAAGUCAAGAUAGAAAGAAGGUAGUGCAAUUUUUAAUAGUUUGUACAAAUCAUGGAAGAAAUUGGAAUAGUUUAAGAAAGCAUCCUUUGCCAAAGAUAUACAAAGAAUUUGAAGAUCUUGAAGACUCAAAGGAUUUUUAGUAGAUGCCAUUGUAAAGCAAAAUUGCAAUGGUAAAAAGAGAGAAGGCUUUUUGCCUAGUAGAAAGGAUGAAGUUAUUAUAGGAUUAAUAUGAGAUAGAUAUAUCAUAUUUAAAAAUAUAAAUAAUUUUAGAAGGAUAGAUAAGAAAAAUAUCAAAAAUAUAGAACAUGAGUAAAAAAAAAUAUGGAGUGAUUGGUGAAGAUGAAUACAUAUCAAAAGUAUUUGAAAAAUCUUAUUUUGAUGAUACUAUAGAUGAUUUAUAAAUAUUAUUGAAUGAAGAUUUUGAAAGAAGUGAUAAGGUAAUAAAUGUACAUUCUAAGAAAUUUUAUGAUGGAAUAAAAGAAUAUAUGAAUAAGUAUGAAGUGAAUAUAAAUACAAAAUAUAAGACUGUUACAAGAAAGAUUAAAUCAGUGGCAUUGCGACUACUAUCGGAUUUUGAAGAAAGGAUUAAAGGGGCUUCUAUGCAACCAAAUUUAAGAGAUCUAAAGAAAAUAGGUCAUGAAUUCAAGGAUGAUUUGACAUUAGAUGGUUUAAAAAUUGUAUGUGAUAAGUUUUUAACAAGAGAUGAGAAGAGAUGUUUUAAAAAAAUUCUUUGACGACAUGAUAAGGCAUUUGCAUUUGAAUCACAUGAAAUAAGGUACAUUGAUCCAAGUAUUAUAGCAUCUAUGGUUAUUUUUAUAAUUCUACAUGAAUCAUGGAAUUUGAAGCAAAUUCCAGUUCCAAAAGCCCAUUUUCCAAAGCUAGUUGAAUUUCUCAAUGAAAAUAUUAAGAUGGAAAUUUUAGAACCAUCUAUUUCACCAUAUUCCAAUUGAUGGUUCAUAGUACCUAAGAGAAAUGGCACAUUGAGGUUUAUUCAAGAUAUGCAAUUCGUAAAUAAGAUAACUAUUAGAAACAUGGGCUCAAGUCCAAUUGUGGAUGAGUUUGUAGAGGCAUUUUUAAAAAGAAUAAUUUAUUCUAUGGAAGAUCUUUAUUUGGGAUAUGAUUAAUUUUAAUUUGCAUUACAAAGUAGAGAUUUGACAACUAUGAAGACACUAUUAGGAUUGGUCAAAAUGUGUACAUUACCACAAGGGGCUACAAAUUGUGUAGUACACAUGAUGAAUGGAAUGUAUAAGAUAUUAAGAAAUUUUAUUCAAAGUAUAAUAAUAUCUUUUUUAGAUGAUGUACCAAUUAAGGGAUGUGAAGAAGAAAGAAAGGAUGAGACUUUAGAUUUAAAGGAGUGUAGAAAGUUUGUGGCAAAUCAUAUUGAUGAUUGUGAAAAAUUUUGACAAGAUUAGAAGAAGUUUAUUUAAACUUAUUGGGGGCAAAAUCAAUGUUUGGAGUUAAAGAAGUUUUGGUGGUUGGACAUAUUGUGGAUCAUAUGGAUGCAAGCCAAAUAUAGAAAGGAUUGAUGUUAUAAAAAAGAUGAAAGAAUGUGCAAAAACAAUGGAAGUUAGAAGGUUUUUAGGAGCAUGUAUUUUCUAUCAUAUAUGGAUACCACAUUUUGCACAUGUAGCAGAUCCAUUAUAUGAGUUGUUAAGAAAUAAUAAAAAAUUUCAAUAGAAAGAAGAGCAAAAAAAGCUAUGGAAAAAUUAAAAAACUUUCUUUUUUCACUUCCAACUUUGAAGAAAAUAAAUUAUGAGAAUAGAAGACCAGUGGUAUUAAUAAAGGAUGCAAGUCCAAUUGGUAUAGGCUGGGCAAUUGGACAAGAUGAUGAACAAGGCAAUAGAUAUGUAAUAAGGUUUGGAGCAAGGAUUUUGAAUGCUAGACAAAAGAGAUAUGCACAAAUUAAAAAGGAAUUAUAGAGUCUAGUAAUAGCUAUGAAAAAUAAAAGGAAGUAUUUGAUUGGUACAUCAGUAGUUAUAAAAAUAGAUUGACUAUCUUUAUUGGACAUGAUUAUGAGUUGUUCAAUACCAGAAAUUGCAAUGUUAAGAUGGAUUGCAUAUAUAAAGUCUAUGAAUCAUGAAUUCAAGCAUAUUUUGAGAAAAGACAAUGUGGUUGCAGAUAUGUUGUUACAAGUACAAUAUAAUGAUGCAGAUGAUAUGAUUGGUGAUGAAGAAAAUAUCGGCACCAACUUUUAUUCAACUUUGUGUGCAAGAAGAGAUGGAUUGUAUUUGGCUACACCAUUUAAAUUAUUUUCAAAAGAAUUAUAUGAUGGUGAAUGGUUGUAAAUAAGAAAAUACUUAAGUAUAUUAAUAUAGCAAGAAGAUUGGAUGGACAAAGAAUUUAAGAAGAUUCAAAGGAAAGCAUAUGGAUAUUUUUUUUAAGAUGGGUUUUUAUGGAAGCAUCAAAAAAAAAAAAGGUAGAAUACCACAACGAGUUGUAAAUGGGAUUGAGACACAACAAAAGAUCAUUAGGGAAUUCCAUUAGAGACAAUGGGCUGGGCGUUGAGGUAUUUAAGCAACAUUUAUUAAGUCAAAAGAAAAAUAUUGGUGGAAAGGCAUGCACAAAGAUAUAAAUUUUUUUGUAGGAACUUGUAAAAUUUGUCAAAUAUAUUCAAACAUUUGGCAUUGAGAUGGAUUACAUUCAACAUAUCUUUUAGCUUUACAUUAUAAAUGGGUGGUGGAUUUGGUAGCAAUGUCAAUGGAACUUAGGCAAAUAAAGUAUUUGAUACUUGUACGAGAAGAUUUAUCAAAUAUGGUUGAAGGACAAGCAUUAAAAACAAAGGAUACUGAAGCUGUAUGUCGAUUUUUAUUGAAAGAUGUUAUUUGUUGCUAUAGUUAUAUUAGGAGAAUUAUAGCAAAUAGGGAUGAAUUGGAUACAAAAGAAGCACAAGAAUUCUGUAGUAGAAUAUGAAUUAAAUUUUUAUUAACAACAACAUAUAAUUCAGAAGGUAAUGGAAAGAGUGAGCAUGGACAUUCACCUAUUAUUAAGGCACUAAUAAAGGCAUGCAAUGUCAAAACACAUGAAUGGCAUAGGCUAUUACCAUUUGUACUAUAGGCAAAUCAUACAACUCACAGUUUAGUAAUAAGUUAUAUGCCUUUUGAAUUAAUGUAUGGGCAAAAAUCAAUAAUGCCAACAGAAGACGUAGUGCCUAUAUGGGACAUAUUACGUUAGAAGGAUGAUCUCAAUAUGGAAGAACUUUUAUUAUUAUCGAUUCAACAAUUAGAAAGAAAAACUGAUGAUAUUGAAGCAACAAUAAUGAGGUUAAAAGAAGCAAAGAAAAGAAAUAAAGAAAGAUUUGAUAAAAAACAUCUACUAUGACCUAAAGCAAUUGAAGAUGGUGAUUGUAUGUUAAUUUAUGAUAGUAGCUUAGACAAUCAACAUAGCACGACUAAGAAAUUUGCAAAGAGAUAGUUUGGGCCUUAUGUUGUAAAAAAAGUGUACGAUUAUAGAACAUAUUUGUUACAAAAAUUUGAUGGUACAAAAUUGAAGAUACAUAUAGCAAGAAAAAAAAUCAAAUUUUUUAAACAAAGAAGUGAAGACAUUUGUUUUAAUAAAGAAGAAAAUUUAUUAGGGAAUAUUGAGAUGGGAGAAGAAGUAUAGGUUGAAGAUCAAGGAUUUAACCAAGAUGAAGGCCACUCUACAUAAAAAUGAUAUAAAAAAAUGGUGCAUGUCGAAAGAUGCAUAGGUUCAAGGGGGAUAGAUGUCAUGAUGUAAAAUGGCUAAUAGGUGAAAGGAUGAAGAAAAUAUCAUAAUUUUGAAGAUCUUAUUUCAAAUAUAUUAUAAUAAAUUAUCUUGGAAAAAUAAAUAAUAAUCAAGGAGUAAAAAUAUUAAAUGUGUUAAUACUACUAUUUUACAAAAUAGGCUUCUACUCAUUUUGUACGGCCACAAAUAGGAUAAAAUAAGGUAGAUUAGAAAAAUAAACAAUACAAGCAUCUUUGAAAAGAAGUUAAAAGUAGUUUCUAGAAAAAAUUAUCUAGAAAAAUUAGAUAUUGAUACCCGAGAGGAUUGGUCAUGAACUAGGGUUGAAAUCAGAUCCCAAGACAUAAAUCAAGCUCUAAAAAUAAUUUUGAAAUUCUUUUGGAAAUUGAAGGAUAGGAUCUUAGAACUAACUUAAUAGGUUUUUUUUUGAGUAUUGAUUUGAUGUGAUUUGAAUGUGUAUUGACUUUGUAAGAGCUUUACAAAGUUGGGAUUUAUUUUGGAUGAGUCUCGAUUUGUGAAAUAAAAUGGGUGAUAAUUUUUAGAAAAUUUCAUAAGUUUGGCAAUAGAUCUGAAAGUGAAAUUUUGAGGAUUUGUGGAUAUAUAUGUAUUCAAUAUAUAGUGUGAUUUUUAACUUGAUCAAAGGAUUGAAUCAAGGAUUAUUGAGGUUUAAAUGAGUUAGAAUCUUAAGAAGUAGAGUUUUAGUUCUAGUAAGAAUUUCUUAGAUUUCUUGCAAUUCAUUAAUUAGAUUGGAAUAAAAAUUAUGUGUGUGAGUAAAAGAAUUUUUUUCCUAUAUAUGUGUGAAAUUUGAUAUCAAUCAAACAAUUAAAUAAGGAGAUAUUGACACUGGAAAUUCAACAUUUAGAUUAAAAAAGGAGGCCAGCCAACAUUUGAGCAAAUAUUAGGGUCAAUCUUCUUUUGAGUGAGUUCAAUCUUCUUCAAAAAUUUUAUACUUGUAGUCAACUUAAUUUUAAAUAGGUUUGCAAAAUUUGAGUUAAAAUCAUUAGUUCAUUUAUUAGUUAUUGAGAUUUAAAUCUAAUAUAAGAAUUACUUGGAUUAUUUAGGAUUUGGCUAGAGUAUGUUUAAGAUUUGAUUAAGGUUUGUUUAGGUUUUUUUAGGUUUUUUUAGGAUUUGAUUAGGAUUUUUUAUGAUUUGACUAAGAUUUGGAUAAUAUUUAUUUAGGAUUUGAUUAAGAUUUAUUUAGGAUUGAUUAGGAUUUGGUUAGGAUUUGAUUAAAAUUUGGUUAGGAUUUGGUUAGGCUUUGAUUAGGAUUUGAUUAGAUUUUGGUUAGGAUUUGAUUGGAGUUUGGUUAGGAUUUGGUUAGGAUUUGAUUAAGAUUUGAUUAGGAUUUGUUUUGUAUUUUGUUAGGAUUUGGUUAGGAUUUUGUUAGAAUUUGGAUUAGAUUUGACUAGGAUUUAAUUAGAUUUUAUUUAGAAUUUGAUUAGAAUUUAUUUAGCAUUGAUUAGGAUUUGAUUAGGAUUUGACUUGGGUUUGGUUAGGAUUUUAUUAGUUUUUAGUUAGGAUUUGGUUAGGAUUUGAUUAAAAUUUGAUUAGGAUUUAUUUAGGAUUUAUUUAGAAUUGACUAGGAUUUGGUUAGGAUUUGAUUAGGAUUUGGUUAGGAUUUGGUUAGGAUUUGAUUAGUUUUUUUUUAAAAUUUCAAAAUAAAAUAAAAAAUACAAGAAAUGAUAUAGAAAUUUUUAAUUGGUCUUAAAGUUUACCACCUAAAAACUCCAACAAUCCCUCUUUUAUAAAUUUUUAUACUUCUCCUUUUUUAUUGCUCCAUUUCUUGUAUACUUAAGCUUGAUAAAAAACCAAUAUUAUAAUCUAACUUCUUUCAAAAUUUUAAAAUAAGAAAAAAAAAAUACAAAAAAUGGCAUAGAAAUUCCUUACCAAUCUUAAAUCUUGUUGCCAAAAAACUCCAACAACACUUCUUUUAUAAAUUUGUAUGGUUUUUUCUUUUCAUAGCUCCAUUUCUUGCAUGCUAUAGUUUGUUGAAUAGCUAAAAAUACAAUCUAAUUUCUUUCAAAAUUUUAGAACAAAAAAUAAAAAUUUCAUAAGUAGCCUUCGAAAUCUCGAAUCCUACUUGAAACAUGUCCCCCCUUCCCUAAAAAUUCCAGCAAUUCUCUUUUUCCUCCCUUUUGAUCCCAAUCUCUUUUUUUUUUUUUUUUUCAAAAUUAAAAAAAAAAUUGAUGCCAAAAAUCUCUAUUACUAAUCCUCUCUCAAUAUCCCUCUUAAACCAUUAUAGAGCUAGGUGUUUAUCCUAAAAGAUAAUAUCCUUAAGCUCAAAUAAUUCAUUCAAGACAUCAAUUUUAAAUUCUAAAUUCUAUUCAAAUUAUAAAUAUAUUAAUAUUAUAUUCAUCCUUUUUCCUCCUAUAAGUAAAAUUAAUUAUCCUCUAAAUAUCUUUGAUGAACUUAAAUUAAGUGCAUUACAACACUUACAUCCUCUAGACUAGCACAUACUCUAGUAUGCACCAAAGAAUUAGACUGCAAUAUCUCCAUCAUUAGAAUCAGAGUCAUUAAGAGCCAUAUUACUUUCAAUCAUUGAUUUAAAUAUUAGAAAUAAAAAAACUCUAAAUCUUCCACAUAUUUUAUUCUAUUUUACUGCUUGAAGACUUUAAUUUAUUUUCUUGUAAUCUUUAUGUUCAAUAGUAUUCUAUCUAACUUUCAAAGAAAAUAAGUUAUAUUUUCAUGUAUUUCAACAACCACAUAGGAUUCAAACCUGCGCCAUACAAACUUAUAAAGAGUAGAAUGUUGGUGCAUCAAACUACUAUCAUAAAUCAAAAUCCAAUCACUUUCUUUAAUAGACUUAAGCCUAAAUUAGUGAGUUUUAUCAAACCUCUCUUUAUUGUUUAACCUUACCACAUUAAGCCUCUCUACAACAAUUUGAUAAUCUUCAAGCUAUCUCUUUAAUUGGUGAACUUAAAGCUCUAAUAAUUUCUUCCUAUCAAUGCUAUCUUCUCAAGACAAGAACAAUUAAGAAAGAAUAGACUUUUGUGUAGGCAUUAAUGGCUUUUGCUCCAAUAUCAAUUCCACUAGAAUAUAGCUAGUAACUAUGCUAUGAGUAGUUCUAUCUGCCUAUAAAAGAAAUGACAAAAGAUUAAGCUAUAAUCUUCAUUGAUUCUUACAUGCCUUGAUUAAAGCUUGAAUGAUUGGAGGAUGCUCCUUUUUAUUCUUACAAUAGCUUUGGAAUUAUAAGAAGUAGUCAAUUUCAAUUGCAUCCCAUAUCUUGUAAAAAAUCAUGUGCCUUUGCUACAUCAAGAUCACCUUAAUUUACUCUUAUUCUUCCAAUGCUCUCAUAGUAAUAUAUAAUAACUUCUAAAAUAAAUGGAUACACCACCUCCAUGGACUUUAAUCUCAAUGCUUUUCCUUCUACAUAAUUAGAGAGUUCUUCUCUUAUCAAAAUAAAUACUUCAUGCCCCAAAGUUUUAUUGGCAUAGCAAUUAAAUCAAUCACCCAUUGAAAAUGAAUAGCAAGUAGAUAGGUAGGGCAUAAACCAUCUCUAUACUUCAUCUUGAAUUGAAAUUGGUAUUCUUUAUAAAAACUCACAAAUUCUUCCACAUUCUUGUAUAAGCCCUUCUACCAUUAGUGCUUUUUGAACUUGGUAUAGGUAGCUCAAACUCAUCUAUGUCCAACCUAUAAUGUAUUAUAAAAUUUACCUAUUACCUUAUAUUUGAUCUUCAAAUCAUCCACUACUCUCAAUGAUACAUCAUCUCUUUUUUUUGGCCUCUUCCAUAAGAAUAAAUCAUGUAAAAGAUAGUUAUAGGAUUGGUGCCUAAUAUCCUUAAAGAUCUUGUCCAAUCAAUCUUCUUGCCUCUUCAUAGUACUCAAAUAUAAGCCAAUCUCUAUCAACCUCUCUUUAUACAAAUUAAAUUUAAAGGAUAGAACUUCAUCACCUUAGUAUCCUCUACUUAUAGCAAAUGCAAAGCCUUGGACCAAGUCUCCAUCUUCCUCUUGUACAAGUAUUUUUUUCUCAUUUGAUUACUUAGCCUUAGAUAAUAUAUCCACCAUUAAGUUUUUUUUUAUCCAUGAUGUAUAUCAAAAUAGGAUUUAGAGACUUAAUAAAAGAAAUCUAUAUAAGUAUAAUAAUAUCUAAUGUAAUACAAUUAGAAAUCAUUCCAAGUAGAGGCAAGCAAUCAAUUUCCAAUAUCACAUGAGUACCUAUUAAGUAAUUCCUCUCAACCUUCAAUGUGGUUAGUACACCUCAAAAUUCUCUUUUCUUUUAUAGAUAAGUUCUUUGCCUCUUAGUGAGAAUCCUUACUUUAAACCUAACUAUAAAUCAAUUACUUUCUUUAUCAUCUUGUCCAAUAAUCCAUCCAAUGGCUAUAGAACUUGUAUCAAUUGUCAUUACUAUCAGUCUUCCACAAUUAUAGUCUACUUGCCUUCACACUCGUGAUAAUUUCAAAACCACUUUUAAUUCAUCCAUGGCCAUCUCUUACUUCUCACCUCAUACAAAAUUCUUUCUUUUUCUUAAUAAUCAAUUCAAAGGCUUCGCAAUAUGAGCAUAAUAGAGAAUCCAUGUAAAAUAAAAUACACAAGUAUACAAAAAUUCUCUUAUCUUAUUAGAGCUCCUAUAUGCCUUCAUCUUUGUUAUGGCAUCUACCUUUUCCGGGUUUGAUUUUCUUUCCUAGCUUCUACAUAAAUGUCCAACAACCAUAAUUUCUUUAAAUCCAAAUAUGAAUUUUUCAAGAAAUAAACUAAAAUUUACCUCAAAUUUCUUUAAAAUAUGAUCUUCAUCUUCAAUAUGUUCUUUAAUAAAUGUAUGACAUCUAUCUUCUUUUAAAGUCAAAUCUUUAGUCUCUUCCUUAUAACCCUUGAUUAAAACAUCAUUUAAAAAAGAUAUGGUCUUAUUUGGUACAAAUUUCCUUAAAAUUUGAUUCAUUAUAUUUUACAUAUGAGCCACUAAAUUAAUUGUCCCUUGUGGCAAAGUACACAUAUACGUUAGAUCCAAAAGAGUCUUCAUAUUGAUUAGGUCUCUAUUUUCUUUUAUUAAUUGAAAUUCAUUAUAAUUCAAAUAUAAAUUUCUACUAAAGUAAAUGGCAUGCCCUAAAAAAGCUUUUGCUACUUCAUCUACCAUUGAUUCAAAUUCCAUAUUCUUAAUAGUUAUCUUAUUGGCUAAUUGCAUAUCUUAAAUGAAUCUAAGUACCUCAAAUUUUUGGCAUGGUGAACCAUCAAUUGAAGUAAGGUGCAAUAGAUGGUUCAAGGAUGUCCAUCUUCAUCCUUUCUUUUAAUAAAUCUACCAAUUUGGAAAGCAAAGUAUUUGGCAUUGAAAUAGGUUUUAAGUUCCAAUGAACAUAUAAAAUAUUAAAAGUAAUUUUAGGUGCUAGAAUGUUGGGAUCCAUACAACCAAUUUCUUUGGAUAUAAAGGUAAAAGCCUUAUUAUAUUUAAAAAGCAUCUCUAAAAACUCUUCUCUCUCCACCUCACUCAAAAAAUUACUUCCUUCAAUCUUCAACUUGCCUAAAGAUUCUUUAAUAAACUUGUAAUCAAUCUUUCUUGAUUUGUCAAUUUUGGCUCUAUUUUAGCUUGUUUGAUAUACUCUUUUGUAUCUUGAGGCAAUUGAGUUGUCAUGGGCUUCACCUUCUUAGCUACAUUUUUAUACUUAGUGUACUUUAUAGCCUCUUGUAAUAUCACAUGAUUAUCAACUACUCCAAGUCUCUUAAAAAACUCAAAAACCUGCUCAUAUAUUUAUCUUGAGUGAAGCUCCAAAAUAACAUUAGGUCUAUUUCCAUCCAUAUUUAAAGUCAAUUCUUCUAAAACUUUUAUAUAAUCAUCUUUAAAUCCUUUUUUUUAAUAAUAUUCUAAAUUUACUCAUCACUUAAAAUCACACUCAAUUUUUUAUUUAUUUUUUUAUAUUUCUUUAUCCAACCCUUAUACAUAUGAUCCAAGUUUCCAACUCUUUGAAAUUUCAAAACCCUCAAAAUUAUCAAAUCCAAAAAUCCACACUCAAAACUAUUUAUAUUAGAAAGUAUAUAGAUAAAAGAUUCACGUACAUUCUUGUAUCUCUAUGCAACACAAGUGCUCUUUAAAAAUCCAAAAAUUCUUCAUUGGUCUUCAAAAGAGCUUCUCUAAAUUAGUCUUAAAAGAGUUGGCUCUCAAUUAGUUCAUGAUCCAAUCUUAACAUAAGAAAUUAUACUGACUUUUUUCCAUCAUAAUUCCUAAUCUUUGCAUAAUGAGAGCCAACAUUUAAAACUUUGGUUAUUAUUUUUAUAGCUGUUAUAUAAAGUUACUUUAAAAUUACUGAGUAAGUAGCAAAGUUUUACACAAAGAAUUUUUUUUCUACUUCUACAUAUCCAAUUCUUAUCCUAAUUCUUGAACAUGCUUCAAAAAAAUCACCUCGCUCAUUAUUUAUGGCCCUUAAAAUCCAUCUAUAAUUAAUACUAAUGGGCCACCUUUUUAUUUCAUUACUCUUCUUUAACAUGAUAUUAAUCUUUGAUCCAUAAUCAAUAAGUACUAAGGUAUGCUCUUUAAGGUCUUCCAAUCUCACUUGAGCCUCUGUGGUAGCUCUAGUCCAAAAAAAGAUGUAAAAAUUGAUCACUAAUCCUCUCACCCUCAACCCUCCUAUAAAAAGUACAAUUACAUAUAUUUAUCUCAAUUAUAUCUACUAUAUACUCCACCUUUUUGCUACUUCUUACUCUUCUAUGAUCUUUAUCUCUAUAAUAGUCUUGAGUAGUCACCUCUUUCUUCCUUCUAAAUAGAAUCUCUUCAAUCCUAGGUGCAUAAAGUUGGAAGAAGUCUUGUCCUAUUUUUUGGUCUUCUUCUUUGAUCAAAUAAGAGUUAAAUACUUUAACCAUAAUUGCUUCAGCUAUCAUAUACCUUUUUGUCUUAAUAACAUCAAUAAUAAGCUCAUAGAAGUCUUUUUUUGCAAUGCCAACUACCUCCUUGAAGAUGAACUCAAUUUUUGCAUCAAGAAUCAUCUCUUCUAAAAUUUCCUUUAUAUCAAUAGAACCUUCAAUAUCUAAUUGAAGCUUAUAGGAAGGGCUCUUAUCUUUAGGCUUAUUUUAGCAUUCAUUUUUUUUGUCUUUUUCUCUACUUUCUUGGAUUCCAAGUCUACUCCUUAAUUGAGAUAAAAAUAUUGCUUGUGCUUAUAGAUAGGAAGAUUUUUUUCUUCGUUGAAAAGUCUCUCUAAUCCUUAAUGUUCUUCUCUUAUCAAAAAGCUCCACAAUAUCUUCUUGAGAGAAUUUAGUUCUCUUUCCUUUUGCAAUGGCAUUUUUGUCUUCUAAAUCCUUUUUGACAUUUAAAAAGACUUUGAUGCUAAUAACAUCAAAUGAAUCAUCUCAACAUGUUGCUAUCUUAAUAGCUUCAUCUCUUUUAACUAUAGCUUCUAUUAAUAGCCUCAAGAUUGCUAUUAUACUCUUAGUUUCUAUCUCAAUGACAUAAGAUUCAAUCUCUUUCACAUGUAAUCCACUCGCUCUCCCUACAUAGUCCUUUACAAGCUUCUUCAUACUUCUUCUUCCAAAAUUGAGCUUCAAAAGUUGUCCUAUAGCAAUGAGUCUCAUUCUAAUUUUUUUAAAGAAGAUAACUCUUUUUUUCAAGUCUUCAUCAUACUUAGAGCAAUCUUUCAUCUCUUCUUCAAGACUAUCAUAAUACACACACCUCUUAACAAAUCUAUUUGAUUCAUUCGAUGAAUACAAAGCUAGGGUUCUUUUGCUCUUCUUCAAUUCAUUCAUUUCUAUUCUUAAUUUUUUCAUAUUCUUAACCAAUUCCUUAAGAAUAUCUUUGAGAAGAGUCUUACAUGUCUCUUUGAUUGGAAUUGAUGUCACUAGACUCAAUGGAAUAAUUGGCAUCAUAGGUGAUAGAGCUUCAUGCCUCAAAGCCUCUCUUCUUGCUUUCACUUGCCAUUACUUAGUCACCAAUAACACAACAUCUUCCACUCUCUUCCAAUCAUUAGUUAAAUAUACCUCAAUAGACUUGUCAGCCAAGAGUACAAAGUAUGAGUGAUUUUUUCUCCCUUCACUUAAAUUCAAUUUGAUUCAAUUGUGACUUAGAUUAAAAUUUAAUAUUAAUAUAAGUUGGCAUUUAAACCAUAAAUAUAUAAAAAAUAAAUAAAUAAAUAAAUAUAAAUAAAUAAAAACAAAUAAAUAAUAUAACAAUCACAAUUAAUUCAAACACAAUAAGUUAAGUAUAUAAUUUUUUAUGAUUUCUUUAACAUUAUAGUCAAAUAAAUCAAUUUCCUUCCAAGAUUUACUUAAUAAAUUUUAAACUUUUAAAUUAUAAAUAAAGAUAAAAAUAAAAUAAAAUAAAAUAAGUUAAAAUUAAUAACUAAAAGUUGAGUGAAAAGUUUAAAAAUAAUCAAAGUAAAAAAAAUUAAAUAUAAAAAUUAAAAGUUAUGAACUAAUAUUAAAAGUACAAGAUAAUAAUAAAAAGAUAAGGUUAAUUUUUUUCUUUUAUCUUUCAAAGAUAAAGUUAAAUGAAAAGAUAAAACUUUACCAUUAAUUAUGAGAAUGAGUAAAAAGUUCUUAAAAAAUAUUAAAUAAUAUUAAUUAAGAAUAAUAAGAUAAGUGAGAACUAAUAUAGCAGAUUAGGUGCUAAAGAAUUUGAUUAGAGAAUGAUUAAAGAGGAAACAAUAACAUACCUUGAGAUAUCAAAUUUUAGGCAACCACCAUUGCUAUUCAGAAAUUUACCAAAAAUUCCUUGAGACUCCAAUCUAUGUAAAAUUUGGUGUGAUCAAGGUUAACUCUAGUGUGCUUCUAUUCUCUUAAAUCUUAUGGCAAUCCAAUUUAAAAGGCUUGAGAUAUGGUUUUUCCAAAUAGAACCACUUGGGCUGCCUUGGCAAAAGAUCCCAUCUACUUAAAAAUUCAUUAAAAGUUAAAUAGUAAUUUAAAUUUAACAAAUCUAAUUUUUUAUAUAACUAAACUUAUCAAGCUUCUUUUCAAAAUAAGAUUCAAUAAUAAAACAUUAGUAGAUAUUAAGCUACGUUUUUUCAAAGUUAAUUGUUCUAAACUGCUAAGGCAGCAGAUCUAUCUUCUUUCUAAAAAUCAUCAAAAAUUCAUUAUAACUUGGAAGUUAGUGAUUUAAAUUUUUUAAACUAGAAUUAAAUUUAAACUCAUAUUAGUAAGUUAUAUUAAAUUUGAGUCAGAGGUCACUGAGUUACAAAUUUUUGAAGUCAAUACUCUUACACUGCUAAGGGCAAUAGACCCCUGCUAUUUAGAAAUUUACCAAAAAUCCGUCCAAGCUUCAAAUUUCUUCUGGCUAGUAUUGUUAAAAAUUUGGUAAUUAGAAGAAGUCAAAUACAAAAUAUUGCUAAAAAGAAUAUAAAAUUGAGUGGUUGAGAGAAAAAAAAUACUAAAGUAGUGACAAGUUUGGAGAAAAUUUUCUUCAAUUAAAAGCUUAGAAAUAAUUUGGCAAGACUUUGUGUUACAAAAAGAGGAAGAGAGAGAGGGAGCUUGGCCACUUAUAGAAUAGAUAAAUAAACUUUGUGAUAAGUUACUACUUGGUUAUUGAUAAUCUUGAGAAUUAGACUAAUGGCUACGCAGUUUAGUUAGUAACAAUAGGUUGUUAGUGGAAUAAAUGGUUAAGAAUUCAAAGGGUCAUAACCUUUGAAAUCCGUUGGCCGACGGAUCAUCUUUUUGGUAGGAUAAAUAGGUUGAGGAAAGAAAGCCAAGAGCCAAAUUGUGAGAGUCAUAAGCCGGGGUAAACUUGGUGCUACCUCUUUGUUUCCUUUGCUUUUAUUAUUUACUUACGAAGAAUUGUGAUUGAAAGAAGUAUUGUUGAAUUGAUAGUUGUAGAAUGGAUUAUGUAUUGUAUCAAGAUGGAAGUAGUAAGCCUUGGUAUUUUAUAGUUUGAUAAUUGAUUUCAGAUAGCCAGAGUACAGUCAAUUGUGAUACUAACAGACCCAAUUUUUAUAACCAGUCUUUCUCCGUGUUUGAAUCCACUUCUAUUAGUUCAAUUACUUUGGUAUACUGAAGCUUGAAUGCAAUGGAAACGACAUUUUGGCAUCGUUGCUGGAGAAAUGAUAACAAUAUGAAAUAUUAGAAAUUGAUUGUAUGGGAGAUAGAAUUAUAUAUUGAAUGAAAACUUGAAAAGAAGUAGUUUUAGGAUUACAAUAUGUGAGUUAUAAUUCAAGGCAGUAUUGAUUUUGUCGGAAAGAAUGAAAGAUUAUGAGUAAUAAUCAUGAAGGGGAGGAUUAUCAAAGAAUUAAUCGACAAGCAAAAAAAAGACAGGAGCAAUUAUGCAUAAGAAAUAUCCGACGGGAACGACAAAAAGGAAUUGCAAGUCCAAAAAAAACCAAAGGAAGAAAAAUUCAAAUUCAAAUAGUAAGGAGACCAGUGAUAACACCAAUGGCGACGGGAGUGCCAGAAGUACCAAUUGCAGUAUAAAUGGGAGCAGUAGGAGACCGAACUAUAAGUGUGGCACCAUUACCUAAUUUUAGUGGUUGGUCAGGCUCUGAUCUUGAUCACCAUAUAUCUCAAUUCUUGACAGCCUGCGGGGCUAAUAAUGAUAGAACUGAAGACAUUUGGUUGAGAUGGUUGUUAGCAACUUUAAAAGAUAUAACUUUUGAAUGGUAUAUUCGGCAAGCAAUGGAUAGAUUUUCUAAUUGGGAGGCCUUGAGGAACGCCUUCCUAAUCCAUUUUAGACCAAUUGGAUUUGAAGAUCGGCUUUGAAAAAGUUCUAUGAAUAGCACGAUGUUUACGAGGGAAUUCGUAGAGUCCUAUUAUGGCCAAAUCGUGGAUAUACUUUGUAAAUGGUCAAAUAAUGAAAUGCCAGAUGUGUUUAUAUUGUCGAUAUUAAUCAAUGGUUUGCAUCCACCAGAAUUGAAAAUGUUUAUAAAACAGGCUCCACCAGCUAUAGUAGAGGCAUCGUUGGCACGAGCAAAGGUGUAGGAAGAAUGUCAUUAUGACCAAUUGUUAACAGUGGGGGCCACGAUGAUUUGAAGUUUAGGAAGCCAAUAAAUAUAACCGGGAAAUGUAUCGAUGGGUAAUUAUCCACAAAUGGCUCCCUCCAAUGUGAAGAAUGUUAUAUUGUAACAACCAAUUAAUGCUACACCACUCCAAGCAAUAGCGCAAAUAAUGAUGACACCUUAUUUUACAUCGCCAACCUAUCAACAACCAGAGUUGUUUACAAAUUCGACUAUUAAAGAUCCAAAUGAAGCUUUGUUAUUAAAUUUAACAAAGAAGAUGGAAGAAUCGGUCGUGAAUUUGGCUAAAGAUAAGGAGAAACGACAUAAGCCUUCUAAUACAAGACUUAAUGUAUGGUGUAAUAAUUGUAAGGGACAAGGUCAUUUUGAUUCGAAAUGUCCAUCACUCAGACAAAUGGAUGUUCAAUGUACAUUUUGCAAAGGAAAGUACCCUAUCCAAAACUGUUGGCAUUUACAAAGGCAACAAUAAUUCAGUAAUCACACCAUGAUUCCAUCGAUUCAAUGGGAAGUCAAUCAAGUUCAAAUAAAAAAUACUUUUGGAUGGAAUGGAAAUUAAUCUAAUCGACAAAAUCGAGCAUUCAAUAACUUCAAAGUUUAAAUUUUAAUCAGGAGUCUACAUCAAACCUUCAAAUCUACGAGAAAGAGUAGCAGAGGUAUCAGCAAUAUGCUCUACCAGCGUCAUCAAACCAAGUACCUUCCGUUGUCGUAUUACGUGCUUUCCUGCUCGAGAAUGCGCCGGGCGUCUGGCUGUAGAAGGUAGUAUGGAGAUUCGCCAAUAGUCAAGCAGUCUAUCAGUUUUGACUGCUGGAAUAUAAACGACUGCAACAAUGUAUCGUAAAUCUAUAUGGAUGCUCUUCGACUGCUUGUCGAAGUCCUUUUUGUCCCAGCCGGUAGGUCUCUAGAUAUUACAGAGAACCCCGAACAACCCAAACUGUUAAUCUUCAAUACCGCUUUGUACUUACGAUCUUGUAUCCACUGACUGUCUUGUUAGAUUAACCCAAUAAAUUUCAUUCACUCCGCAUACUCAAUCCUAUAGACACCCUUUUAAUCCUUUAAUCACAGACGUAACUCGAUUUCACAAAACAGUCAAGAGUAUUCAAACCCACUUCAUUAAAAAUCUCGAUUCACCAUUACAAUACUGACUUCAGCAGUGAUUGCCUCAGUCUUCCCAAAACUCUACGAAGAAGAAAAAUCCAAAUUCUAUGUCUUUCCUUCCCCGACCCGAAGCAUGAAGCUCCUCUCUCUAAUCCCCUUGAUCUUCAAAAACCUCCAAUGAAAACCGAACUAGUAACCUUGCAAAAGCUUGCAAACUAGCUCCCCCCGAUUCCCAGAAAAAAAAAAAAAACCCCCCCCGCCAAAAAAAACUCUCUCUCCUAACCUUAUCCUCUAAAUUUCUUCAAUCUUCCGUCUUGGAUCCGGAAUUGGCUCUCGCCAUCAAGGCUUAGAUCCGAAAUUGGCUCUCGCCAUCAAGGCUUAGAUUCGAAAUUGGCUCUCGCCAUCAGAGCUUUUUCUCCCCUCAUUUUUACCUUUAAGAGAUCCUUUUAUCGAAAACAACGUUCCCUGAAACGGCACAGAGAACAGGACAGCCCGAAACAGAAUCGAAACCCCGUAAUCGGGACCACAUUGAGUCGCCCGACCAAUUCAGGUCCCAUAUUGGGUAAGAUGCCCGUAAUAACCUGGAUGUUCCCGUAAUUGGGUCUGCAUUGGGUUGCCCGGCCAAUUCAGGUCUCAUAUUGGGUAAGAGGACCCGGAUUGGAUUCUCGAAAUUGGAUCCAAUUGGCUCUUCGAACCCGUCGUGUGAAUUGGUCCUUCUCUUCCUGCUGACUCCCGUUAUUGGAAUUGAAUGGAGCAUUUCAGUAUGCCCCGAAUGACUGUAAUGGGGUGACUGAACCUGGCCACUCAGUAUUUGUACAGGAGUUGGUCGAUGCUCCCAAUAUUCGAGGUAACUGAAUAUUAAUAAAAUUCCCCUUUCUUUUUAUUUUCACUGUAUACUCGUGUUACAACACGACACCGUACCAAUGGGACAAUCAAGAUCAUCUUCUAAUCCUAUAUGGAAUAAGCUUAGUAUGUAUAUACUGGUGGAGAUACUUAAUAUGGGAGAUGGAGGUGCAAGAAGAUGACUUUGUUGUUUUCAUUGCAAACAGAUUGGUCAUUAUGCCAAUGAAUGUCCCAAUGCCAGAGCCAGUGACAAUUAUUUGCCAAUAUGUGCAAAUUGUAAGCAGUCGAGAUAUACUUAUCAGCAAUGUAAUGCUCCAUUCAAUUUCAAUAAUCAAGAUCAGUAGAUCCAAAGCUAAAGAACAAUGGAAGAGAUAAAUCAAGGUCCUUAAGAUUCACCAGUUCAUCAGAUAGAAGUAGUCCAAGCUGUCCAUACAAGUAGUUAGCAAAAGGAGAAAGGACCAAUUCAACAUUUGAGUGAUCCUGAAGCGAAGGACCAAUUGGACCGAAUUACUGGGAUAUCCAAUCCAGGUUCUGACAUGGGUCCUUUACUCAGUAUAAGACCUGAAUCGGUUGUACACUUUAAUGAGGUGCCAAUUACAGAGGCUUUGGUUUCAUGUCGAGCUGUUUCGUUCUCUACAGAGUUUUAAAAAAAUGUCCUUUCCAUUGAAAGAUCCUCUAAGAGGCAUGAAUUCCAAGAAACUAAUAUCAACUCAAUUGAGAGAACAAUCUUACCUAUUGAAAGAAAUGAUUUUACAAGCUCCGUCAAAUUCAGUUCGAGUAGCUUUAUCAAUUUCUAAUAUAGAAAAAAUCAAUUUACCUACGUCGGUAUCUAGGAUUGGGAAGAAAAAACGAACAUUGGAAAUUACCACUAAUAUAGAAUCAUAUAAUAUUCUAAAAGAUUUGGACAACAUACAACCCACGAUUUCUAUGAAGCAACUAUUGGCGGUAGCACCUGAGUGCCGAACUAUCUUGAAUUCCUCAUUAAUUCAUCGCAAAUCUUGAAAUAAAGAAAUUUGAGAAGUAAGUUUGAAUCCCGAUCCGGGUGCACUAACGAUUGAUGUCUCAAUUGAUGGAGUAUUACUAUCUAGAGUAUAAGUAGACUGAGGAUCUAGUAUAAAUCUUAUGAAUGCCGCUACAAUAAAGGAGUUGGAUUUGGAUCACUUAUUACCUAUUACAGUAGUUUUGAGAAUGACUAACUCUAGUCAAGUUAAACCUAUGGAUAUUUUACAAAGUAUUGAUACAAUAAUUGCGGAGAUCACUUAUAAAAUUGAUUAUAUUAUUUUCUAAUUUCGAAGCUCUAUAUAAUCAUACCCAAUUUUAUUGGAGCGACCGUGGUUGUAUCAAGCUAAAGCUCGAAAUGAGUGGGGCCAUGGUACAUUGAUAAUUGAGAAAGGUAAUGAUAAAAUUGUGCUUCAAAUGUGCCUUGUCCAAUAUCACGGAGAAAUUCAAGUUCCUAGUUCAAAAUUCAUGUCGGAUUGUAAAGAUGAGUCUAUAGAAGAAGAAAUUGGUGCAUCUGUCCCAAUUUAUACUGAUGCAAGGUAAGUUGUGGAGCACACUAGAAUGAACUACCAGUGCAAGGGACCGAAAGAGUACUUAAUUCCUCUAAAUGUUAUUGACAAUUCUGAUCAUAUGAUUGCAUAUUGCAUGAAUAGAUAGGAUGUUAAUCACAUUAGUACUAUUGAACUGGAGUUGGAAAGUUCUAAUAUGUCAGAUUUUAUGAAAGAUUUUGGAAUUGAGCAAAACAUUAUUUCAAAGACUCCUGAAAUUCCACGAUGUCAACCAAUUAAUUUAGGUACAAGGCAGGCUACCCAAAUCAUUCAUAUUUAUGACGGUAUAAAAAGCAAGGAGAAAGAAAUUUGGGUGGAUUACUUUUUACGACAUAAAACUAUUUUUGUAUGGUCGUAUGCGGAUUUGAAAGGAAUUCCAAUUGAAGUUUGUGAGCAUUGAAUUAUAUUAGAGGAGAACGCUACACCAGUACACCAAAGACAACAUCGACUUAAUCCAAAAUUCUCACUUAUGAUAAAAGAAGAAUUGGAUAAACUCUUGGACGUUGGAUUUAUCUAUCCGAUUCUUUUCAGUGAAUGGAUUUCACUAAUUGUUAUAGUACCGAAAAAGAAUGGAAAAGUUUACAUCUACUAAGAUUUUUGAAAAUUAAAUGUGGCUACCAAGAAGGAUUAUUUUUCUUUAUAAUUCACGAUUAGUAUAUUGGAUGUUGUUGCUGGUCAUGAAUGUUAUUCAUUUCUUGAUGGAUUCUCCAGUUAUAAUCAAGUUAAGAUUGUAAAAGAAGACCAAUUAAAAACUACUUUUAUUAUGGAUUGAGGGACCUUUGUCUAUAAGAUUAUAUCAUUUGGGCUUUGUAAUGCACCAGCUACAUUUCAAAGGGUAUUGACGCAAGCGUUCUAGGAUUAUCUAUGAAUUUUAAUGGAAAUAUUUCUAGAUGAUUUCUAUACAUUUAAUACGAGAGUCACGUAUUUAGAAUAUCUUGAUCAUUGUUUGAAUCAAUAUGCUAAAUAUAGAAUCUCUUUAAAUUUAGAAAAAUAUCAAUUUGGUGUGUCUUCUAAUAAACUAUUGGGUCAUAUAGUUUCAAUGGCAGAUAUUGCUACAGAUCCAGAUAAAAUAAAGAUUAUAGUAGAAUUAAAGCAACCAGACACUGUUACGUGUGUUUGAGCAUUUUUCAGCCAUAUCAAUUAUUAUCGACAAUUUAUCUAUCUAUUCAUAGUUAUAUGUCUUUCCUUGACAAAUCUCUUGAAGAAACCACCAACCGAUGGGACCAAUCCAUUUUAGAUAAAGGAAUGUACAAUUGUAUUCAAAAUAUUCAAACAGAAAUUGAUUUCAGCAUCAAUAUUGGUGGCACCUUGUUGGACAAAACCAUUCGAAGUUUAUGUGGAUGUAUCUAAUGUCGCGAUUGGUUUUGUGCUAAGCCAGAAAGAUGACCAGGGUUUUGAUCACCCUAUUUAUUAUGCAAGUCAUCAAUUGGUAGUAGCUGAAAGAAAUUAUAGAACAACCAAACGAAAAGCAUUGGAGAUGUUUUAUUCCAUACAAAAGUUUCGACAUUAUCUUCUUGGUUAUAAAUUUAUUUUUCAUAUUGACCAUGAUGCUUUAAAAUAUAUGAUUGAUAAGCCUCAAUUGAGUGGUCGUAUUGCAUGAUGGAUUUUACUCUUGUAGGAAUUUGACUUUACUAUUUAGGUAAGACCAGGAAAAUCACAUUCCAAUGUAGACCAUUUAUCUUGAUUAUCCAAUAUAUUGGAUAAUGAAUCCAUUAACGAUGCACUAUCCGAUAUGGAACUGUUUGCGGAGAUGUAAUUACUUCGGAGUAUAGUGAAAUAAUUCAAUACUUGACAUUUCAAACCUUCCCACCUAAUUUCAAUGAAAAGCUUAAAUGCGACUUAAUAUUAAAAUGUGCACCUUAUUCGAUGAUUGAUGAAGCUUUAUAUAAACAAGGUAAGGAUGGAGUUUUGCAAUGCUAUAUUUAUCAGACUAAAGUGCGUACUAUAUUAAAAGGUUGCUACUUGGACGAUUGUGGUGGACAUUUUGCGGGGAUAGUAUGGCUCGUAAAGCUUUACAGGCUGGUUAUUGGUGGCCAACAAUAUUUGCAGAUGUCCACCAAUUUGUCCAUCAUUGUAACCCAUGUUAAAGCACGGGUUGACCUACUGGAACUUCAGCAAUGCCAUUGGUACCAAUUUUGGCUCAAGUGCCUUUUGAAAAAUGGGGAAUUGAUUUUGUGGGACAAAUUGCACCAGCCUCGAGAAAUGAACAAAAAUGGUAUAUACUGAUAGCAACGGAUUACGUAACAAAAUAGGCUGAAGUAGUAGCUACAAAAACCAAUAGUGCAAGUAUAAUAGCAAUCUUUUUGUAUGAAAAUAUUAUUACACGGUUCAAUUUUUUAUGAGAAUUGGUUAGUGAUCAAAGAACUCAUUUUAUAAAUAGUACAAUCGAAGCACUCACAGCUAAAUAUGAGAUAAAACAUCAGAAGACUAUAGCGUAUCACAUUAGAGCCUAUGGACAAACGAAAAAGACUAAUAGAAUUUUAUGUAAAAUCUUAACAAAAACAGUUUCAAGAGCGGGAACAGAUUGGGAUACUAAGUUGUUCGCAACUUUAUGGGCAUAUCAUACUACGUAUAAAGUUACUAUCAAUGCUACUCCUUUCCAAUUGGUUUAUGGCCAAGAAGUAAUAUUACUUAUUGAAUUAGAAGUCCAAAGUUUACAAAUUGCUAUAGAUACUAGAUUGAGAGAUCAGGAUUCAUUACGGCAUCGUUUAGAAGAAUUAGAAAAAUUAGAUGAAACUAGAGCCAAUGCAUUAAUGAUAAUGGAAACUACACAAAAACAAAGGAAGACUUAUUAUGAUAGUAAGCUUAGACCAAAGGCUUUUAUGCCAAAUGAUUUGGUACUUCUUUAUGAUAGUCAAUUUAAAAAUUUUCUAGAAAAAUUUCAAGUUUGAUGGCAUGGGCCAUAUCGAGUUAUUGAAGGAUUUCCAAAUGAUUCAGUAUAAUUCAAAGAUUUUAUGGGUACUAAAUUUACGACACGUAUUAAUUGCAAUUGGCUUAAACUUUACUAUAUAUAAACCCAAGAUAGAUUUUUUGUUAGAAAAGGAGGAAUCGAUCCAAUUGAUUGGACCAUAGUAAGAAGUAGGAGGGGGACUCUUAACAAGCAUCAUGUUUUCUUUUGUGGUUAAGGAGAAGAUGGUGAACAUGAUAUCUGAGAAAGUAAGGAUGGAGACCGAUUGGAAGGAAUGGUAAGAAUGGCUGUAGAUAAAAAUUGCGAUGUUACAAACUAAACUAGCUGCAUUAGCAAAGGAAGCCAAUAAUUUAGUACGGAUCAAUACGCGAGUUUCAGCAAUAACACCUUUGGAGAUACCUUUGAAAUCGACAGAAGAAUGGCAAAAGAUGUUGGAAGAGUGUAACAACCAAAUUGCCCGACGUGAGUCUUAGGUAUGGAAAUUGGGUUUGUUGAAUGAAGAUCUGAUGACGUGUUUGGAUGGAGAACCAUCGAAUACUAAGACAAAUGACGAAGAUAUAAAGAGGAGAAGGUCCCCAAUUCAAAAGGUGGUAAGCUAAUGCCAUUGAUUGAAGAAGCCAAUGCUGCUAUAUCUUUAUAAGUUGAGGCUAAAUAAUAUUUACGAGGAUGUUGCACAAUUAGGAAUGGAACUAUGUAGAAUAGAUAAAUAAACUUUAUGGUAAGUUACUACUUAGUUAUUGAUAACCUUGAGAAUUAGACUGAUGAUUAGGCAGUUUAGUUGACAACUGUAGAAUAGAUAUUAAUUCAUUUUUGAAAGAUAUUGAUAAAAUAUAUUAAUAGUCCAUAUAAUAGGAAAUUCAGUGUAGGUUCAUGUCUAAAUGACUACUAUUUGUUGUGGUAGGAAUGCUUGAAGGUAAGGUGUUUAAUUGGAUAGCUUUUGUAGCAUUUAGAAUCCAUGCGGAGAUGGGAGCCAAGCAGAAGAUGGAGAAAUUUGCAUUAUCACUAUGCUCCUAUUAUGUACAUUCCAUGAUUGUGUAUAUGUUAAGUCAAACAUCACCAGCAACGGAGAAAAAUAUAUCCUUCCUAAUGCCUCAACAAUAUGUUUGGAGUUUAAUCGUGUUGAUAGUUAGUUCAGAAGUCAUGGUGUAUAAAAUUGGAGAAUCAAGUAACUUGUUGGAAUGGGAGGUUAUACCAGUAUUUACACUAAGACGGGUGUAGAAUAAGUAGUUAUUUUUAGAAUGUAGAUACCUAGUGUAUAGUAUAAACAAGGAUAGAUAACUGCUGAAAAAGUGGUUCAGCAAGUAGAAUGGAUGAAUAGUCAGGAAAAGUAGUUAUCAUCUGUAAUAUAGGAGUUGGUAUCUCGGGGUAGUAUAAGGAGGAUGGGAGAAGGGAAGAAAAUGCCAGAUUGUGAGAGUUGUGAGCCAAGGGCCAGACUGUGAGAGUUGUGAGCCGAGGUAAGCUUGGUGCUACCUCUUUUCUUUUGUUUGUUAUUUUCUUUGAAUAAGAAAAUUAAAAGUUUCUAAAUAUUGUGAAGUGAAUUAUGGAAUGGAAAUGUGAUUGGUAUUAUUUGAGAAGAAGAAAGAUUGAAUACUGAAAUCUGAUUGUAGUUCAGCAGAGAGAAUGAGUUUGUGUUUGUGUGAAACACUGUAAUGUGAAUGGCAGUUCUAUGUGAAGAAUUCCAGUGAUUGGAACGAGGGUAAUUGUGUGCUGAAAGCUGUGAGGGCGCAGUAUUACAGUUAGAGAUUAUGAGGGUGAAUAUAUUAGUAGAAAUAGCAAUUAUUGGUAUGAUUGAAUUACUGUAAGGAAGAGACCGAUAAGGUGAAGGAGGAGAUUAUAGUUUCCUUGUGUCUUCAGAUAUUGGAAAUAGAGACGAUACAUUCAGGAGGUAAUUGAUUGUAUGAUCCUAACGUGAACGCUUAAGUAACUAGUCAUUCUCCGUGUUUGAAUUCCCUUAUACGGAUUUAUUCCCAUUAGAUUAAUUUGGAAUAAGUAAAAUGAGCAAUCACAAUAACAAUAGGUUGUUAGUGGAAUAAAUGGUUAAGAAUUCAAAGGGUCAUAACCUUUGAAAUCCACUGGCCGACGGAUCAUCUUUUUGGUAGGAUAAAUAGGUUGAAGAAAGAAAGCCAAGAGCCAGACUAUGAGAGUCGUAAGCCGGGGUAAGCUUAGUGCUAUCUCUUUGUUUUCUUUGCUUUUAUUAUUUACUUAUGAAGAAUUGUGAUUGAGAGAAGUAUUGUUGAAUUGAUAGUCGUAGAAUGGAUUAUAUAUUGUAUCAAGAUAGAAGUAGUAAGCCUUGAUAUUUUGUAGUUUGAUAAUUGAUUUCAAAUAGCCAGAGUACAGUCAAUUGUGACACUAAUAGAUCCAAUUCAUAUAACUUGUCUUUCUCCAUAUUCAAACCUACCUCUAUUAGUUCAAUUGCUUUGGUAUACUGAAGCUUGAACGCAACGAGAACAAUACCACCCUAGCCCUCUUAACUAGGUGGGAUGAGGCCCAAAGGUGGCAGCCACAUCUCCACCAUCUAAAUCAAAAAAUCCCUAACCAAUAUCAAGGAUCCAUAAUCACUCUAAGUCUAAAUCCGAUUUUAAGGCUAAAAAUACCUAUAAUACAAAAAUUAACACCUUUUUAAAAAAACUUUUAUUACCAAUGUUUUUAAAACAUAUUUUUAUUCUAUAGUUGACUAUUCACAAGCCCAAAUCCAAGUUUUAAAUCAUAAAAAUUAAAUAAUUUACUAAUUUAGUUAUAAGUUUUAACUAUAAUUCUAAUUUUACUUAGUCUACUUAGAGAUCACAAAGAGUUCUUGCUAUCAAGCUAUCAUGAUCACCAUUCUUUAAUUUAAGCUCUCUUAAACAUAAAUUCUUAGCAAAUUCAAGAUCCAAUUACAAUUUAGCCUUGAAUUAAUACACUUGUGAUCUUUUUCUUUUUUUCCAAUUUUCAACUCCAAAUAUGAUUAAAAUCACUAAGAAAAUAAUUCUAUUAUAACAAUUAGCUCACCUUCAUCUUCUAAAAAUCAUCAUUAAUUUAAAAAUUAUACUUUAUAUUUUUAAUCCAUUUAAAUUGUGGCAUGAAAUUUAAGCAAAAAAAAUUUAAAAUUAAAUAAGAAGAUAGAGUAAUUAGACUUAAAGAAAUUUUUAAUCAUAUUCAAAUUAAGAAUUAGCCUUAGGAUUGAAAAUUAAAAUUUUGAAUUGAUUCAAGAUAUAAUUUUUAGAAUUUAGAGGAGAAAUUCUACUAAAAUUCUAAUUUUAAUACUAAAAAAAGAUUUAAACCAAAUCAAAAAAAAGAAAUCAUAGACCUUCUAAAUUUAUUAUUUUAGAAUUUUUUAAUAAUUAUUCAAUCUAAUAAUUAGAAGUAUCUACUUAAUUAAUAAUCUAAAAUUACAAAUAAAAUCAUAAAUAACUAAAAAAUUAAUUUAGAUUCAUAAAUUAAUCAUAUUAGCAUUGAAAUUAGUAAAAAUAUGUUAAAAAUUAUAAAAAUAAUUUUACCUAAUCAUUAAAGCUAUUAAUUGUACUCAUAAAAAGAACAUAUCUUCUAGUGCUUCAUCUACUACUUGCAAGAAGAGCUUGAUUUUCUUUACACUUAAUAAAAUUUUUUCUAAAGAAGACAGUUGAAAAAAAUUUCUUUCAAACCUCCUAAGCAAUUCAUUAGGAGCUAUAGAUCUCCUUGGUUGUUACUCAAUCUACUCCAAAAAUGAUCUCUUGAUGACUCUAUGAGAAUCUUUAUCAUAAAAUUCAUCUCUCAAUUUUCCUUCAAAGUCAUUCCAAGCUUCUAAAUUGCUUCCAUGCAAAUCCCUUACUCUCUUUCUAAUUUCAGGAAUGUAUGCCAAUUCUCAAUGAGUUGAUAUUCCUCCAUUUUUCCUACAUAUGCUUGGAAAAACUUGAUGAUGUCUCUUCCAUCAUAUCUCUUAUGGUUAUUAACCAUGUUAUUAUGAUGUAAGACAACUAAUAGAUAAAAGGAAUGAAGAAAUAUUAUAUUAUAGAAGAUCUUACUUCAAAUAUUGUAGUAAAAUAUCUUAGAAGAUAGACAAUAGUCUAAAAGAAAGUAAAAUUAAAGAUGUGUAUGCUAUAUUUUUAUAAGAUAAGCUUUUAUUUACUUUGUAAGGCCAUAAAUAAAGCUAAACAAAAUAGAUUAGAAAAAUAAGGAAUAUGAGCAUAUGUAAGAAGAAUUUAGGAGUUGAUUUAAAUAAAAAUUAUCUCAAAAAAGAAAACUUUGAUACCUAGAGAGGACUAGUUAUCUAGGUUGAAAUCAGACCUCGAGGUACAAAACUAAAUAUCUACAACAAUUUUGAGAUUUUUUGGCAGAUCAAAGAAUAGAAUUAGAGAGCAAAUUUAAUAGAAUUUUUUUAGGCAUUGAUUUUGAGUGAUAUGAGUGUAUAAUAAUUUUGUAAGAACUUUGAAAAGUCAUAGUUUUUUUGGAUGAUUCUAAAAUUUGUGAAAUAAAAAAGGUGUUAUAUUUUGCAGCAUUUCGUGAGUUUAGUAGUAGAUUUAUAGUUCAAAUUUUAAAAACUUAUGUGAAUAGUUUUCUAGAGUAUAUGCUAUAAAUUUGAGCUUGUUUAAACAAUUGUAUUGAAGGUUAUUGAAUUUUAAGUAGGUUGAGAUCUUAGAAAUUGGACUUUGAAGGAUAAUUAGGAUUUCUAAGAUCUUCAACAAUCUACUAGUUGUAUGAGAGUAAAAUUUAUGUGUAAAGAUAAUAGACUUGAUUUGCUUAUACAUGUGAAAUUUAAAAAAAAUUGAAUGGUUUGAAAUAGAGAUAUUGGUACUAGAAGUUCAACAUUUAGAUUGGAGUAGGAGGCUGGCCAACAUCUAAGUAGAUUUUAUGAUUUUUCUCUCAUUUGAUAAGUAUGAUUAUCUUCAAAUUUUAUUUUUUUGUUUAUUUUUAAUUUAAUUUUUGAAGGGUAUAUAAAAUUUUAAGUAAGAUCAAUGAUUUAAUUGAUAGAUAUUAAGGUUCUAAAUUAUGCUAACAAUAGUUUGAAUUGAUUAAGUUUUGGUUAGGAUUUGAUUUAGGAUUAAAAUUGGAUUAUGAUUUAGGAUUUGAUUAAGAUUUGAUUAGGAUUUAAGAUUUGAGUUAGGAUUUACUUAGGAUUUAAGAUUUAACUUAAGAUUUUAUUAGGAUUUAGGAUUUAGGAUUUAGCAUUGGAUUAGGAUUUAGGAUUUGAUUUAACAUUUUCUCAGGAUUUAAAAUUUAGGAUUUAGAAUUUUCUUAGGAUUUAAGGUUUAGUGUUUAGAAUAUUUUUAAAAUUUAUAAUAUAAGAUUUGCUUAAGAUUUAGAGUUUAGAAUUUUCUUAGGAUUUAGGAUUUAGGAUUUGGCCUAAGAUUUGAUUGAAGUCCAUUAGGAUUUUAAUUAAGAUUAAAUUAGGACUUAGUUGAAAUUUAUUUAAGAUAUAUUUUUAAUUAUUCUAAUAUUUCUUUAAGAUUUCUUUUAAAUUUGAUUAAAUCUUAUUUAGUAUUAUUAAGGUUUAAUUAGAAUUUAUUUAAUAUUCUAUUUAAGUUAGGAUUUUUUUGUUACAAUUUCUAUUCUACCUUCCACAGCCAAGUGUUUGGUACAUUCUUGAGCAAGACUUCAUAUACUAUGAAAAUGCUUUCGAAUGCCUUAGUCAUCUCCUUCUCACUUACUUAUAUCUUUUAUUGUCUCUUCAAGAAAUUACUCAAAGCUAAGAAUAAAUUAUUGGUACUUGCUUCUCCAUUGCCACUUGUAAUAGCCCCUUCAAAAUCACUCUUCAUUUUUGAAUGUCAAAAAACUUCUCACUUCUCUUUUUAUAUUCUUAAAUUCUUUUUCAUGCUCCAUGUUUGUACUUGAGUUCCAUAACUCUAUUAUGCUCUACUUAUACUUCUAAUUGCCUCGAAGAUAUUCUUAAUGAAAGUAUCAAAUUUAUGUCAAGAGGACAAGCCUCUUUGAGAGAAUAUAGGAUCUUUGAUUGCAAGUAGAUUGUAAGAAAUACAAUGUUGCUUAAAUAAAGUCAAAUAUAAAAAGAUAGCCAAAAGCUAAGUACAAAAUUUAUACUAAUUUCUUUCUUGUGCCAAGAUGUAUCUAAUUUUUAACUCAAAUCUUAAACCUACACCUCAUCUUAUUAAAAUACCUAUAAUUCACUUAUUACUAAUCUAAUCUAUGCAAAGUCUAGCUUGUUGAGCUUAACUCAAGCUAAAAAAUUUAAGUUAUUAAAGUCCAUAAAUAAAAACUUGUGGGAAUGAGAGCUAAACCAAGGAGAAAAAAAUUAGCUACUUGCUGCAAUCACUACUUCAAAAUCCUUGUCUACAAAUCAGCUUAGAUCUCCCUAGUUAUAGCUCUUUUUUUCACGUGUUAAGACUUUUUAAAAAGCUAACAAUGAGUUCUAGCUUCUUUCAAAUUCUCAAAAUAAAAAUAAAAAUAAAAAAUCCAGUAAAUGGCAUAGAAAGAUCCAAACUAGUCUUGAAUUCACCUUGCAAAAAACUCUAACAACUUUUUUCUUAAAAAUUUGCUUGGAUCUCUCUCUUCAUAGCUCUAUUUCUUGUAUAAAAUAGCUUAUUAAAAAAUUAAUAAUAAGAUCUAGCUUUUUUUAAAAUUAAAAAAAAUUAAAAAAAAAUACAAGAAAUGACAUAAAAAUUCCUAACCAAUCUUGAAUCUCACCACCCAAAAAUUCUAGCAACCUCUGUUUUAUAAAUUUGCAUGGUUCUUCCUCCUCAUAGCUCUAUUUCUUGCAUACUAUAGCUUGUUGGAAAGCUAACAAUAUGAUCUAAUUUUUCUUAAAAUUUCAGAACAAAACAAAUCAAAAUUUCAUAUGUGGCCUUCAAAACUCCAAAUCUGACUUGGAUCUUGCCCCUCCUCCCCAAAAAUUCCAGUGAUCCCUCUUUUCUCUUCUUUUGACCCUAGUCUCUUUUUUUUUUUCCAAAAUUAAAAAAACUUGAUGCCAAAAAUCUCUAUUUCUAAUCCUCUCUCAUUAUCUCUCUUAAAUUAUUAUAGAGCCAGGUAUUUAUUCUAAAAGAUAAUAUCUUUAAGUUCAAAUAAUCCAUUCAAGACAUCAAUUUCAUAUUCUAAAUUCUAUUCAAAUUAUAAAUGUAUUAAUAUUACAUUCUUUCUUCUCCUCUCUAUAAAUAAAAUUAAUUAUCUUUUAAAUAUCUUUGAUGCACUUAAAUUAAAAACAUCACAAUAUCAUGUUAAAUACCUUAUUACAAAAAUCAAACAUAUAGUACAAAUUUGUGCUUUAUAAGGAGUUUCUAUCAAGCUUUGUUUAAUCUACUUGAUAUAUGACUUGCCAUAUCCAUAGCCUUCCAUCUUCAAAUAAAUAGACAAACGGAAUAUACAAACCAAACCUUAGAAGAUAUGCUAUGGAUAUUUGUGAGAGUUCAUGAUAAUAAUUGGAAUGAAUAUUUGACAUCCUUGGAAUUUCCUUACAAUGAUAAUAUUCAAGCAAUUACUAGCUAUUCAUCAUUAUUCCUUAAUAAUAAUUAGCAUUCAAUUAUGCCAAUAAUUCUUUAUUAUUCUAUAGAUACUAGAAAUCUAAUAAUGGAUGAAUUUAUACAAUGGCUUACAAUGCCUUAAAAGAGACACAAUAUUGUCUCUUUAUCGCACAAAAUCAAUAAAAAUAAUAUAUAGAUAACCAAUGGCAAUAUAAGACCUUAUGAAAGAAUGAUCAAGUAUUAUUCUUUAAUAUCAAUUUUUUAUUUGGUACAUCAAUCUAAGUCCACAACUUAAUACCUUGAUGGCUUGGACCUUUUUGCAUAGUUGUAAUGUAGAAGGGAUAGAAAUUUAUUUUUGUAAGAUAUUGGUAAAGUAGAUUAAUCAUUCCUAGGAUGGUCAAUUCAGUAGGAUGGGUGAUUGAAUUAGUUGUGAGAAAUUAUUAAGUAAGGAAUGACAGUUAGAAUCUAGAAUUUGAGAAGUAAAGCAUAAGUAAGUUAAAGAAAAUUAUUGUAAGGACCACACUAAGAUAGUUAUGAGCCAAAAUAAGCUUGGUGUUACUUCUUUGUUUCUUUGUUGUUGAAGAGUAAUGGAUAGUUUUUGAAUACUAAGAAGUGAAUCUAUGGAAUAAAUCAGAGAUUGAUUUAUGAAUUAUUGAUUAUGUAAUUGAAAUAUUGUGUGAUUGAAUUAUAUGAGAAGUUAUUGGAAGAUUGAUUAAAGAUGGAAGAUUAUGAUUGUUGUUUAUUGAGAGUUGUUUGUGUUUCGACAAUGAAAGUAUGUGAUUACAGAAAUUAUGUGAAUACAAAUUGAUUGGAGUGAAGUCUGUUAUUUCUAGUGUUGGAUGGAAUUCAUGUAUUUUAAGCAGUCUUUUGAAAGUGCAUGGUUGCACAUUGUUAUUAUCAGUUGAUGAAGGAAUAUUGUUACUGGGAGAAAAUAUUGUACUAUUUUUUGGUGUUUUAGUGGUUCAGAUUACGGUUAAUUGUGUGACCCUAAUGUAUAAGAUCAUGUGAUAGUCUUUUUUUGUGUUUGAAUCCUCUUCUACAGAUUUAUUCUGAAAGAAAUUUGUAGAAUAAAUAAAAUGAUAACCACAUUUUGGUGCCGUUGUCAAGAAACGACAAUAGUAUUGAGUAUUAGGAAUUAAUAUCCAAAUGAGCAAUUUUGGAUGUUGCGCCAAGAGGUUAUAAAAUUGAAAUUGAUUCAAAAGUGAAGAGAAUUGUAUAGUUAGAUGGAAGAUAGGAAGCAAAUUUAAUAGUAUAUAAAGAUUAUGAUUAUUAAGAAUGAGAACAUUGCUGGAAAGAAAAGAUGUCAGUCAAAAAAAAGACAAGAGAGAGUAUAAGCAAAAAAAUUAUUGUAAAAUGAGCAAGAAUCUAAGUUAAAAAAAGAAACAUUAACAAAGUUGGAUUAAGCCAUGGUUGCAUGCUUAUUGGAAUAUCCAAGUAUAUCCAGAAGCUGACUGACCUCUAAUAUUUCAAACAUAUAUACCAUUAAGAAAAUUACCAAGAAUACUCGUAGAAAAUUUUAUCAAUAAUCCAGUGUAUCUCUUGAGCUCAUCAAUUACAAGUAAAGAAAACACAGAAGAAUUAGGUACUCCAUUUGAUACCUUCUUGUAGAAUAGAUAUUAGUUCGUUUUUAUAAGAUAUUGGUAAAAUAGACUAAUAGUCCAUAGAAUAGUCAGUUCAGGAGGACAGAUGGUUAACUUAGUUAUUAAAAUCAGUUAAUUAUUGAAUUACGAUUAGAAUCUGGAAAUCAGGAGCAAUUAUAUAAGAGUUGUAGAAGUUUGUUGGGAUGCCAGACUGUGAUAUUCAUGAGUCGGGGUAAGCUUGGUGCUACUUCUUUGUUUCUUUAUUUCUUUGUUGUUGAAGAGUAAUGGAUAGUUUCUGAAUUAAGCCAUGCUUGCAUGCAUAUUUCAAGAUCCAUUAUUUUUACGUCUAAUUCAACCAAUAAACUUAUUUAGAAAUAAUAAUAAUAAAUUGAGGAGAUUGGAAAGUUUGGAAAAGAUAAUUGAAAAAGGCAUUGGUGAUUUUAAUAAGAAAUUAAGCGACACAUUGUGUUUUUCAAUGACGAUGAGUAGUCCAAUAAUUCCAAUAGUAGUCUAAAUGUGUGAUGUAGGCGAUUGCACAAUUAAUAUGGCUCUAUUACCUACUUUUAGGGGCUUGCCAGGUGCAGAUCUAGAUCAAUACUUGUCUUAGUUCUUGACUGCAUGUGUAGCCAGUAAUAGUAGAACUGAAGAUAUUUGGUUAUAGUGGCUGUUAGCGAUCUUACAAGAUACAAAAUUUGAAUGGUAUAACUGCCAAAGCAUGGAUCAAUUUCCUAAUUGGAAAGCAUUAAAGAAUACAAUUUUAAUCCAUUUUUACCUAAUUGGUUUUGAGGAUCGACUUUGAGAAAGAUUAAUGAAUAGCAAAUUGAAUCCAAAAGAGAUAAUAGAAUCAUACUAUGGUUGUGUGGCAGAUAUACUCCAUAAGUGGCUAAAUCAUCAAAUGCCAGAGGCUUUUGAAUUAUCCAUAUUAAUCAACGGAUUGCAUCCACCUGAAGUAAAAAUGUUUGUAAAAGAGGCUCAACCAAAUAUGAUAAUUGCAUCUCUUAAUUAAGCCAAGAUUUGGGACGAAUGCCAUUAUGAUUAAUUUUUAAUUACAGGAGCUACUAUAAUUCUAAUUUAAGAAGGUUAUCAAAUUCUAGCAUAGAAUGGAGUAGUAAUUAGUUAUCCAAGAAUGUUCAAUAAAUGAGCCAAUUCAGGUGCCAAUACACAAGAAACAGUUAAUGUCACCCCAUUGCAAGCUAUACCACCAAGCAUGGCAACAUUAUAAUCUCCAUACUUCUCUUAUCAGCAACAGCUGUUGACUAUGAUAGAAUUGCCAAUAGUAUCAGCUUUGAAGGAUUCUAAUGAAAUCUUGUUGUUAAGUUUGAGUAAGAAAAGGGAAGAAAUGGUAGUCAAUAUAGCAAAGGAUAAAGAAAAGAGUCAAAAACCUACUAAUAUUAGGUCCAAUGUAUGGUGUAAUAAUUGUAAGGGCGAAGGUCAUUUGGUAACAAAAUGCCCCUCUCCUCCACAAAUGAUGGUGCAAUGUAUGUUUUGUGGAGGAAAGCAUUUGGCAGCUAAUUGUUGGAAUUGAAAAAAACAACAAUAGUUUGAUAAUCAAACCAUGAUCCCAUCCAAUCAAUGGAAUGUCAAUCAAGUUCAAAUGAGAAAUAUGUUUUGUUGGAAUAGCACUCGUUCAAAUAGGCAAAAUCGAGCCUUUAAUAACUUUCAAGGUCCAAAUUAUAAUCCGGAUUGUAUAUCAAAGUUCCAUAAUUAUGUAGAUAUCAAUAAUAUUCUUUAUCACUACAAUUGAUUCUAAUUUCUUCUAUACCAACAAGACAACCGGGAUCAUUUACUAAUUCAACUUAGAGUAGGUCUAACUAAUAUAUAUUGAUGGAGACACCCAAUAUGUCCAAUGGAGGUAGAAAAAGACCACUUCGUUGUUACUGUUGCAGGCAGAUUGAUCAUUAUGCUAGUAAAUGUUCUAAUCCAAGAGCCAGUGGUGACUAUGCUCUAAUUUGUAGAAAUUAUAAGCAUUCAAGGCAUACAUAUUAGCAGUACAAUACUCGAUUCAAUUUCAACAAUUAUGAUCAGCAGAUCUACUUACAAAGUAAGAUUGAGGAUAAUAAUCAAGGUUCCCAAGAUUCCUGAAUAAAUUGGAUAGAAUGUGUCUAAGCAGUACUUACUAGGAGCUAGUAAAAGAGCAAAGAAUCAAUUCAAUACUUGGAUGAAUCAGUUGCAAAGGACUAAUUCAAUCCAAUUAUACGGAUGUCAUAUCCAGUUCCUGUAACGAGCAUCUUAUUGAUGAUGAGACCUGAUCCGUCUAUACAAACCAAUGAAGUUCUAACCAUUGAGGUUUUGACUCAGUUUAAACUAGUUUCGUCCUUUGUAUAGUUCCAAGAGAUGUCUUAUCCAUUAAAAUAUCUUAUCGUGGAUGGAAAUUUUGCAAAAGCUCUUUCAAUUGUUUCAAUUCCAAGUCUAGGAAAGAAAAGUAUAUUAUCUCAAGGAAUAAAGCUGAAACAAUGAAAAAAAAGUGGACAUUGGAAAUUUCUUUAAACAUGGAGCCUUAUGACAUUCUCAAAGAUUUGGAUGCUAUUCAGCCUUCUAUUUCAAUGAAGCAGCUUCUAGCAGUAGCACCGGAGUGUUGUUCUAAAUUGAAUUCAUUGUUAACACGACAUAGGCAACACAACAAAGAAGUUCAUGAGGUCAGUUUGAACCUUGACCCAAGUAUGUCAACUAUUGACAUAUUAAUAGACGGCAUUAUGAUUUUUAGAGCCAAGUGGAUGGUAGCUCCAGUGUCAAUUUAAUGAAUGCACAUAGAAUAGAUGCAUUGAACUAAAUACAUUUAGUAUCCACGAUAUUGGUAUUAUGGAUGGCAGAUCAUAGCCAUAUUAAAUCCAUGGAUAUUUUAUAAAAUAUUCAAAUUAUAAUUACCAAAAUUGAAUACAAAAUAGACUAUAUCAUUUUUUUAGUUAUGACAUUGAAUUUUAUCAUAUCCAAUUUUAUUGAGACGAUUCUAGCUUUAUCAAGCAAAAGCUAAGAAUGAUUGAGGUCAUAGUACUUUGGCAAUCAAAAAAGACGGCAACAAGAUGGUGUUAAAAAUGUACCCAGUAAACUAUUAUGGAAAAUCUCAAAUGCCAGUAUGUGAAUUAACAUCUGAUGAUAAGCUCAGUUCUUAUGAAGAUGCCAUCGUAUCAAAGAAGAGAGCAUCUUUCAAGUCAACUCAGCACCAUCGAAUGAUGUAUCCAUGUGGAAGAAUGAGAGAAUAUUUGAUAUAUCUAUUAGAUAUGGAAAAUUCUAAUCAUGUUAUUACAGAUUGGAUGACCAAACAUGAUGUGCACUUAGUCAGUGCAUUGGAAUUAGAAUUGAGUACCUCUUCUAUGUUAGACUUGGUAAAUGGAUCAGAACUACUGAGGGAGUUGAAACAAGAAAAGUCAUCUGAAUCUUUAUGUCAAAUUAUUAACUUGGCAAAUAAAUGAAAUGCUUUAAACAAUUAAAAUUUAUAAAUGUAUUCGAGAUCAAAAAUUGACAUGUUGAAAAGAAUUUUUCAUUUACCAUAAAUCUGCUUUUGCUUAGACUUAUGCUGAUUUAAAAGGUAUAUCUAUGGAAGUUUGUGAGCAUCACAUCAUUUUGGAAGAGAAUGCUAAACAUAUCUGUCAAAGUUAACAUCGACUUAAUUUAAAAUAUUUCUUAAUGGUGAAAGAAGAAUUAGAUAAGCUUAUUGAGGUUGAUUUUAAUUAUCCGAUAUCAAACAAUGAGUGGAUUUCUCCAAUUCUAAUAGUACCAAAGAAGAAUGGAAAAAUCAAAAUUUGUCAGGACUUUCAAAAAUUAAAUGCAGCUACCAAGAAAGAUUACUUUUAAUUACCUUUUACAAACAAUAUAUUGGAUGCCGUAGUAUGGCAUAAAUUUUAUUCUUUCCUAGAUGGAUUUUUUGGUUAUAAUGAAGUUAAAAUUAUAAAGAAAGAUCAACUAAAGACUAUUGUCACUACGGACUGGGGAACAUUUGCUUAUCGCAUUAUGCUAUUUGGGUUAUGUAAUGCUCCAGCCACAUUUUAGCGGGUGAUGACUCAAGCAUUUUAAGAUUAUUUACGAAUGUUUAUGGAGAUUUUUUUAGAUAAUUUUUGUACUUUCAGUACAAAACAAGAUCAUUUGAAAUGCGUAGGUAAAUGUUUGGAUGAAUGUGCUACAUACGAGAUAUCAUUGAACUCUGAUAAAUCCCAAUUUGGUAUUCUAUCUAGAAAAUUCUUAAGACACAUAGUCUCCAAAUGUGGUAUUGCCACUGAUCCAGAUAGAGUUCAACACAUAAUGAACUUGCCAAGACCAGAGAUAAUGUUGGGUGUUUGCAAUUUUAUUGGCCAUGUUAGUUAUUAUCCAUGAUUUAUUCAUUCACUUACAAUCCAAUGUCAACCUCUAACUAAUCUUUUAAAAAAACCUCUAUUGGAUGGGAUCAGUCUAGUUUGGACCAAAGAAAGUACAGUGGAGUUUAAAGAAUUGAAGUGAAAAUUGGUAUCUGUACCAGUAUUAGUGGCCCUUAAUUGGACAAAGCCAUUUCAUGUUGUGAUUGCUCAUUUUACUUAUUCCGGAAGAAACCUCCCAGAAUAAACCCGUAUAAGGAGAUUCGAACACGGAGAAUGACCAUGUAUAUGAGCUCCAAUUGUUAGGGUCAUGCAAUUAACCGCUACUGUUGAAUGCUUACCAUACCGAAGAAUACUUAACUUUUCCUCCUACUAUCCACUCUCUCAUAUCAAUACAAUAACAUCUACGACAACGAUUUCAGUACCUUGUGUAAUUUACGAACACACAAGCAUAUCCCAAAUCCUGGAAUGAACAACUUCCAAUCCACAAAAUCUAAUCAAGACAAUUCCUUCGAUUACAAUUCCUCUCCACUGAACUUACAACCUUGCGAUAAAUAGUGACUGGAAACUUCCAUACAUACUCAAUCUUUCACAACAAUUGAUAAACAGUGAUCCAUAAAUAACUUUGUAAAUCAAACAUUAAUUCAUUAAAUCGAUUCUCUUCAUUAGAAUCAACACUAACACAAAAGAAACAAAAAAACUAAGAAGAAGAGAUAGUACCAAGCUUAUCUCUAGCUCAGUACUAUCGCAGUCUGGCCCUCGACUCACAACUCUCGUAGUCUGGCAUUUUCUUCCCCUCUCCCAUCCUCUUUAUACUACCCCGAGAUAUCAACUCCUAUACUACAAAUGAUAACUACUUUUCUUGACUAUUCAUCCAUUCUACCUGCUGAACCACCUUUUCAACAGUUAUCUAUCCCUGUUUACACUAUACACUAGGUAUCUACAUUCUGAAAAUAACUACUUAUUUUAUACAUGUAUAUGUUGAUGUAUCCAAUAUUGCUAUUAGAUUUAAGUUAAGUCAAAAGGAUGAAAAGAGAAUGGAUCAUCUAAUAUAUUAUGCCAGUCGACAAUUGGUAGAUAUCAAAAAAAAUUAUACUACUACUAAACAAGAAGCUUUGGAUAUGAUAUAUUCGAUUUAGAAAUUUUGACAUUAUUUUCUAGGUUAUCCAUUUGUAUUUUAUGUGGAUCAUGAUGCCCUAAAAUAUAUGAUUAAUAAAUCUCAAUUGAAUAGACGUAUUACUAGAUGGAUAUUACUACUACAUGAAUUCAAUUUUAAAAUUAUCGUAAGACCUAGGAAGAACCAUGCAAAUUUUGACCAUUUAUCCUACUUGUGAUGUACUUCUCGACGUUGAUUUAUUUGCUGUAGAUGUGAUUUUAUUAGAAUAUACUAAAAUAAUUGGAUUUUUGACAUUUCAAAAAUUUCUACCUGUAUUUAGCGAGAAGCUUAAGAAAUGCUUAAUUUUAAAAAGUACACCGUAUACAAUGAUUGGUGAUACUUUGUAUAAGCAAGGAAAAGAUGGCAUUUUACGAUGCUGUAUCUUUCAAAGUGAAGUACAUUUGAUAUUGGAUGGUUGCUACUUUGAUAGUUGUAGUAGGCAUUUUAUCAAUGAUAAUACUGCUUAAAAAGCUUUAAUGGGUGGAUAUUAGUGGCUAAAAAUUUUUUUAGAUACACACCAAUAUAUUCACCGCUAUAUUCCAUGUCAAAGAAUUGGUUGAUCAAUUGGCACUGCUGCCAUACCAUUAGUACCAAUUUUGGCCCAAGUAUUGUUUAUAAAAUGGAAAAUUGAUUUUGUUGGACCAAUUGCAACAGUGUCAAGACAUAGACAAAAGUGGUAUAUUUUAGUCACCAUGUACUAUAUAAUGAAAUAGACAGAGGCUAUUGCAAUACGACAUGAUAAUGUAAACACUGUUGUUACUUUUCUAUACGAGAAUAUUAUCACUCAAUUUGGGUAUCCUAAAAAAUUGGUCAGUGAUUGAGGAAUCCAUUUCAUUAAUUUUACAAUUGUAGCUUUGAUGGAUAUAUACAAGAUCAAGCAUAAGAAAACAACUUCAUAUCAUCCUAGAGCCAAUGGACAAAUAAAAAAGACCAAUGAUAUUUUAUAUAAGAUAUUAAUUAAGACUAUUUCAGGGAUGGACACAGAUUGGGAUACCAAAUUAUUUGCAACCUUAUGGACAUAUCAUACAGCGUAUAAAGUGACAACCAAUUCCACUCCAUUCAAAUUGGUUUAUGGACAAGAAACACUCUUAUAUAUUGAGCUGGAAGUCUAGAGUUUACAGAUUGUAGUAAAUGAACGACUAAGUGAUAAAGAGUUUGUACACUAUCGAUUGACAAAAUUAAAAGAAUUGGAUGAAAUUUGAGCUACUACUCUUUUAACGAUGGAAGCUAUCCAAAAAUGAUGGAAGAGUUACUAUGAUAGUAAAUUGCAACCUAAGAGUUUUAUACCCAAUGAUUUGGUCUUACUUUAUGAUAGUCAUUUUAAUAUUUUUUCACAAAAAUUUCAAGUCCAAUGGCAUAGUCUGUAUCAUGUGGCUGAAGGAUUUUCCAAUGGGUCAAUCCAAUUGGAAGAUUUUAUGGGCUAUCAAUUAAAUACACGUAUUAACAAAAACCGAUUACAACUGUAUUAUACUUAAAAUCUAGGAUGGAUUUCAAUUUUUUUCUUGGGACUAUACUUAUUGGUAUAUGUGAAUUAGGAUAUAGAUGUAGCUAAAAGGAUAGCUAGAGAUGUAAUUAGUCAUAGGUCAGAUGGGACGGCGAAAGAAAUGGAUAGUAUGGAUAACAUGUUGUCGUUAUCACUACUAGGUAAAAGAAUAGGAGUGGGGUACCCAUUCAAGGUGAUUCUAUGGUGUUGCAUUCUGUUAUUGUUCUUUUGUAUUAUAAUUUCUUGUAUUUUGGGAGUAUUUGAGAAUAGCAUUGAUGGUUAGAGCUAAAAAAGGUAUGCGUCAUGGUAAUUGAGAGUACAAAGAGAACUAUAGAUAGAAAAGAAAGUGGCCAAAAUGUGAAAGCUAAACGUAAUUUGGAACCACCAUCUAUAAUAAUCAUUAUCAAUAUGGAGCCUAUAAAAUUGGAGAUCUGCUAGAUAUUAAGAAAAAUACAAGAUUUUUGAAAUGUGCAAAUAUUUCAGUUUUUGCAAAGGUUAGAUAGCUUGCCAUCAAUUAAUGUGGUAUUAAUGGAAGAGUAUAUUGUGAAUUAUGACCCAAAGGAUGGAUUGAAUGUAGUACAAGGGCACAUUAUCAAUAUUGAUGAGAAGAUCCUAAAAAAAAUGCUGUAACUUUCAAUUGAAGAGCUUGGACUGGAAACCAUGGACUCAAGCGAUUUUAGUCCAAAAGCAUUUUUCAAAAGUAGAAUGUCAUCAUUUGAGAAGAAUCAAGGUUGGCAGACAACUGAGGUAAUUAUAUCAAAGCUCAUGGAAUGGAUGUGCUUUGUGCUGAGGAUUUAGGAUUGUAUUGACAUAACACGUAUAAGUCAAAACAAUUAAUAUUUGUAAUGGUAGGGAUGCUAUUGUAUGGCAUGAUUUAUUAUUUAGAAAUAAACUAGGUAUCUAUUUAUAGAGAGCUUAGUUUAAAUCUUUAUAUGAAUCUUGUCUUAGCUUCCAAAACUCCUUUGAUUUGCAUAAAACUCAAAAUAUAACAAAAUCCCUUCAAACAUAUUUUUUCCACAAAGGGAUUUCUUGUCUUGAAAUUUAAAAAAUUAUAACUCUUGAUUUAACCAUUUAGUUCGAUUAAAAUUUUAAAAACAAGUAGAAUUCAUCCUUAAAUUUUACCACACAAAAAACCAACUGCAAAUUCACUUCCGAUCUUCAAGCAUCUAAGAAAUCCUAGUAUGUAUUCUAAACCCUAAUUUACAAGCACUUGAGCACUAUUUUCUUAAUAUCUCAAGUAUCCAAUACUCAAAUAUCAUCAAAAUUAAGUACAAAAUUUACUAACAUGAAAUUACAAAAUUUCUAAAAUUUUGAUCUAAAUCCUUAUCAAAUUGCUCAAGAUAUAGCUCAAGACACAACCACUAGUAAAUCGGGUCACUUACUAUCCUUAGAGUUCAUGCAUUGACUUCAAAAUCCAAUAUCUCCUUCAUUCUAAUUUUGAAUCCAGCAAGCAAUAUAUAAGAAGUGUAGCCGCAAAAGUUCUUUCUCCAAUUGCAGUUGCCGACCUUCAAUUGCCUUUUGUAUGUGUAUGUUAUACCAAAAAAAGUGAUAGUAGCUUCCAAAUCAACACCUUAACUUUGAGCGCCUACUUCUCCUUCAUAUAAAUUUCAAAUCAUACAAAACUUACAAUAAAAUUAUAGCCAAAAUUCUAAACUUAUUGACUUUAGCCUUCAAAGCUCGAAUGGCUCCAAAAAACUAACCUUAAUCUCUAAUAUGGCCUCCGAUAGCCUCGUCAAAGCCUAUUGGUCAUGAUUUUUGAUCAAUAGGAAUAGAAAUUUUCAUCAUUCAUUUCCAUUCACCUAUAUUGGUGCCCUAAUUACUCCCUUUGCUACCAAAACCCUUCUUCAAUGUUUUUUUUUUUAUAAGAUUUUUAUAAUUUAUGCUCUAAAUAUCAAAUAAAAGAACCAAAAUAAAUUUUAAAAGGUCACCAAUGUCUAACAAAGGUGACUCUAAAUAUUUAGAAGUUACUAUCAACCAAAACCAAUCUUAAAAGCCACUAUCAAAAGAAAUUAAAGUUAUACAAAUUCUAUAGUAAUCUUUUUAAACAACCUCUUCUCAAAGUAAUAAUCAAAUUAUAUUCUUCAACCAACUAAAAUCUAUUAACAUGACUCUCACCAUAUUACUUAGUAAAUUAUAUAUUAUGUACAUAAUUAUAUUAUUUUCAUAUAGAAGCCGAACUACAACAUGACAAUGCUUGACGAGAUGAUGUUCAAUUAGGUAGCUUAUGUAGCAACCCAUAUUCAAGUGAAAAUGGUAGCCAAGCAAAAAAUAGGAAAGUUCAAUAAUCCAUAAAUCAAUCUCUAAUUUAUUCCAUAGAUUUACUUUUCAUUAUUCUUCAACAACAAAGAAACAAAGAGGUAGCAUCAAGCUUAUCCUAGCUCAUGACUAUCACAGUCUGACCCUUAUAAUAUCUUCUUUAAGUUACUUAUGCUUUACUUUUGAAAUUCCAAAUUUUAACUAUCAUUCUUUACUUAACCAUUUUUCACAACUAAUUCAAUCAUCCCACUUACAGACUUGAGUACAUAUUUUUAAUAGUUAUUUUAUAUAUGAUUCGCAUAUCUUAAAUAAACCUCAAUGUGCCAUUUUUCUUAUGUAUUAUGAACCACCAAUUGAAAUAUGGUGCAAUAGAUGGUUCUAAAAUUUCCAUCUUAAUCUUUUCAUUGAGAAAUUCAACUAGCUUUGAAAAAUGGGUUUUUAGAACUAGAAUUGGCUUCAAAUUCCAUGGUUCAUGUGGAAUUAUAAAAAUAACCAUAGGUGCUACAAUACUUGGAUUAAUGCACCUUAUUUCAUGUGAUUCAAAUAUAAAUGCCUUACCAUAUCAUGAAAGCAUUUUUUUAAAACAUCUCUUCUCAUCUCUUAUUAAAAACUUAUCACAUCCAAUUUUUAAACCAUCUAAUGUCAAAUCAUCCUUGAAUUCAUGACCUAUUUUCUUUAGAUCUCUUAAAUUUGGUUGCAUAGAAGCCCCUUUAAUCCUUUCUUCAAAAUCCGAUAGUAGUCGCAAUGCCACUGAUUUAAUCUUUCUUGUAACAGUCUUAUAUUUUGUGUUUAUAUUCACUUCAUACUUAUUCAUAUAUUCUUUUAUUCCAUCAUAAAAUUUCUUAGAAUGUACAUUUAUUACCUUAUCACUUCUUUCAAAAUCUGUCACGGCUAUAAUCAUGUAAGCUAAUAAUUACAUAUAGGAAUAGGUAGAAGUAAGUAAAAGUAGAUAAAAGUAACUUAAUUCUAUAAUAUUUAAUAUAGAAGCUUCCUAGAAACUUCCUAGACGCUGCUUUGACUUCAUAGGUGUCUUUAAUUGACUUUUUGGAUUAGAAACGUGGUCAACAAGUUGGCCAUGUGCCACACAUGUUGUUAGCUUGAAGAUUAAGCUAACUAUGUGGCCCACACGUAGAAAAACUUGCCUUGUAAGUCAAGGCAUGUGUCCUACAAAGUCAACACAUAUUGGAGGUCCUAUAGAACGUCGCCACGUAGCUCCUAGUUAGAUAGUAUAUAUAGAGACAAGAGUGAAGGCUUCUUCACUCUUGUCAACUCCUUUCUUGCUUCUAGUCUAGUUUCAAGGGUCUCUAGUUUUCUUGUCUUUUGGCAAUAGCCAUUCUAGUUUCUCUUUUCAAUAUACAUACUUAUUAUUCAUAUUUUGUUACUUUUCUUUGAGUGAAGGCUUACUUGUCUGAACUGUUUUUUUAUCGAGUUCUUGUCCUUGACAGAUUGACAAGAGUCCACUUACAAUAUCAGAGCUUUGUUUUUUCUUGAGUAAGAGUGGAUUACCCCUUUCUCUUGACAAGACAUAAGUGUAUUAGAAGUUUGCGGAUUACCCACUUCUAAACUGAUAUUGUUCUUAGUAUCUUCUUUGUUAUCAUGUCUUUCUUUUCUUUUGUCUUGAGCAAUAUCAAACAAAUUUUUCUUCUUAGUGUCAUUAUGGCAGAGCUUGUUGAAAUGAAGAGUACAAUGGCACAAAUGCAAGAGCAAAUGAGGGAGUUAAUGCUUGCGAUGCAUCAACUCAAUUCACCAACACAGGAAAGAACAAGAAUAGCAGAAAGUGGGGAUAUAGAGAUGAUCGGAGCUGCUUCAACAUCUACAACAAAUCACGUUCUUUCUCCAAUUGUACAACACCCUAUAAGCACUAGAGAACCAAGAAUUGCCUUACCUGAGAAAUUUGAUGGUACGAGAUCAAAGUUUCGAGGGUUCAUCAAUCAAGUACAAUUGGCAAUUGAACUUCAACUGCAAAGCUAUCCAACUCCAGGAUCACAAGUCAGGUUUAUUGGCACUCUACUUUCUGGUUCUGCAUUAUCGUGGUUUUCGUCUUUUCUUGAACAAUGAAAUCCAAUAUUGGACAAUUUGGAAGCUUUUUUGGUGGAGUUUCGAUCUAUGUAUGGUGAACACGAUGCAACUCGUGUUGCAACAAAUAAGAUCCGAAUUCUGCAACAAGAAAAUCGCUCAGUAACAGUGUAUGCUUCACAAUUUCGACAACUUGUAAUUGACAUCAAGUGGGAUGAUGCUGCACUCAUCAGUCAAUUUCUUUAUGGAUUGCAAUACGAAGUAAAGAAAUUGAUGCUCAACUUACCUGAUCCUCAAACUUUGAGUCAAGCAAUCGAUUUUGCGGUAAAAUGUGAUAAUCGACUUUUUGAAUUUCGAUCUGAGAAUCAUUCACGGGAACCUCAACGUUAUUACUCAAUGGAAACAUCAACAUCUUUGCCAAACAUACAUUCGGAAGUAGAAGACAUGCAAAUUGACGCGGUACGUUUUAAACCCCUAACUGAGAAAGAAAAGAUUUGUCAUCGUCAAGAAGGAUUAUGUUUAUAUUGUGGAGAACCUAAGCACACUGCUCAACAUUGUCCAAAGAAAAGACGCAACUAUAAAAUGAGGGGUACGACGGUCAAAGAAGACAACAUGUCAGAAAACGGAUUCGUCCAGCUACAAUAGGGACUAUGCAACUGGAACCUUGUACAAUUCCUAAUGAAGGUCCUAUCCUCUCUUUAGAACCCUCUCCUUGUUUUAUAAUAGACUUAUAUUUAAGACCUAAGAAUUACAAAGCCUCUGCUUUAUUAGAUUCGGGAGCCUCAGCAUGUUUUUUAGAUGAACAAUUUGUUAAAAGUCGUAAAAUACCCUUUGUACAGAAACCUAAACCAGUACAUGUAGAAGUCAUAGAUGGUCGUCCCUUGUCUUCUGGAGAUGUCACUCAUGAAACUCAUCCUAUAAAAGUAACAAUAGACGGUCAUGAUAGCUACAUAGCUUUUAACAUAAUUAAAUCCCCGUCCAAUCCAGUUAUUUUAGGUUUAUCUUGGCUAGAAAAAUAUAACCCUCGAAUAGAUUGGAAUUCGCGUAAACUUGACUUUUCCCAAAGUGUUAUUAAUAGUUCUACCAACCAAGUAAAAAAUUAUAAGUCUAGUAUAGUAAAACCCGUACUGAUAGGCGCAAAAGCAUUUAUACACGCAGCAAAAGAAGGAUCAACUUUUGCUAUUUAUGCUGCACAUAUUUCUAAAAACGUAAAGACUUCAAGUAGCAUUCCAAGUCAAUAUCAGGAGUAUCAAGACGUUUUUGAGAAAAAAAAUGCAGAUAUUCUACCUGAGCAUCGCCCAUAUGAUUGUUCAAUCGACCUCAAGGAAGGAACUCAGCCACCAUUUGGACCAAUUUACAGUUUAUCGCAAGAUGAGAUGGCUGAACUCAAGACAUAUAUUGACGAGAAUUUAGCGAAGAAUUUCAUACGCCAUUCAAAAUCUCCAGCAGAAGCUCCAAUUCUAUUCGUAAAGAAAAAAGAUGGAUCUUUACGAAUGUGUGUCGAUUAUCGAGGACUCAAUAAGAUCACAAUCAAGAACAAGUAUCCAUUACCUUUGAUAUCAGGACUCCUUGACCAGUUGAAUCAAGCUAAGAUCUAUACAAAAAUAGAUCUAAGAGGAGCAUAUAAUCUAGUACGGAUCAAAGAAGGAGAUGAAUGGAAGACUACAUUUCGAACCAGGUAUGGACAUUUCGAAUAUAAUGUCAUGCCCUUUGGACUCACGAAUGCACCAGCUGCUUUUCAACAUCUCAUGAAUGAUGUAUUUCGUGAAUUCUUAGACAAUUUUGUCGUCUGCUAUCUAAACGAUAUCCUGAUCUAUUCUAAGAACGUCAAAGAACAUGAAAUACAUGUUCGUCAAGUAUUACAAAAACUUAGAGAUGCAGGAUUGUAUGCCAAGAUGGAAAAGUGUGUAUUUCACACUACUCAAGUUGACUUUUUAGGAUACAUCAUUUCAAAUGAUGGUCUCAUGAUGGAUUCUAAGAAAGUCCAAACAAUCAUAGAUUGGAAGAUUCCAAGGACAGUAAGAGAUGUCCAAUGUUUCUUGGGAUUUGCCAAUUAUUAUCAGAUCUUCAUCAAAGAUUUCUCACGAGUUGCAGCUCCACUUACACGCUUGACUAAUAAAGAUAAAUUCCAAUGGAAUCAAGAAGCGGAAGCAGCAUUUGAAGCCUUGAAGACAUCAUUUGUCUCUGCACCAGUCUUAUAUCGUGUUGACUUUUCCAAGGCAUUUUUUAUGGAAACAGAUGGAUCAAAUUUUGCCUUGGGUGCAGUUUUAUCACAAAUGGGAAUGGAUGAUAAACUUCAUCCGAUAGCUUUUCAUUCAAGAAAAUUCUCAGCAGCCGAGAUCAAUUAUGAGAUCCACGAUAAAGAACUUCUUGCGAUCGUGGAUUCUUUUCAAGAAUGGCGUCAUUAUCUAGAAGGCGCUUCUAGUCCAGUCACUGUGUAUACAGAUCAUAAGAACCUCGAGUAUUUUAUGUCAGCACGCGUGUUGAAUCGUCGUCAAGCUCGUUGGAGUAUGUCUUUGUCAAGAUUCGAGUUCAUUAUCACUUAUCGGCCAGGAAAACAACAAGGUUUGUCUAAUGCCCUAUCUAGAUGUUCUUAUUUUGCACCAAAAGAAGGAGAUGCAGCUUUUGAGCAACAAAGAACGGUCCUCUUGAAACCGGAGCAAUUUCAUCUCCGAGCAAUGAAAUCAACAUUGACUGUUGAUUCAACUUUUCUCAAGCAAAUCCAGUCCAGUAUGUCCUCAGACCCUCUUGUUUAUGAUAUCGAGAAUAAUUCUUCCAAGUCUCAUGAUCCUUCUAAGUUCGAGUUCAAGAAUAAUCUAUUAUAUUUUGAAGGACGCCUAUAUAUUCCAGAAGGAGAAGCACGUUGUCGUAUUACGUGCUUUUCUGCUCGAGAACGCGUCGGGCGUCUGGCUGUAGAAGGUAGUAUGGAGAUUCGCCCAUAGUCAAGCAGUCUAUCAAUUUUUGACUGCUGGAAUAUAAACGACUGCAACAAUGUACCGUAAAUCUAUACGGAUGCUCUUCGACUGCUUGUCGAAGUCUAUUUUUUUUUUUUUUUUUUUUUUUUCUUUGCCCCAGCCGGUAGGUCUUUAGACGUUAUAGAGAACCCCGAACAACCCAAACUGUUAAUCUUCAAUACCCCUUUGUACUUACGAUCUUGUAUCCACUGACUGUCUUGUUAGAUUAACCCAAUAAAUUUCAUUCACUCCGCAUACUCAAUCCUAUAGACACCCUUUUAAUCCUUCAAUCACAGACGUAACUCGAUUUUACAAAACAGUCAAGAGUAUUCAAACCCAUUUCAUUUAAAAAUCUCGAUUCACCAUUACAACACUGACUUCAGCAGCGAUUGCCUCAGUCUUUCCAAAACUCUACGAAGAAGAAAAAUCCAAAUUCUAUGUCUUUCCUUCCCCAACCCGAAGUAUGAAGCUCCUCUCUCUAAUUCCCUUGAUCUUCAAAAUCCUCCAAUGAAAACCGAACUGGUAACCUUGCAAAAGCUUGAAAACUAGCUCCCCCCCCGAUUCCCCUAAAAAAAAUAAAACCCUCCCCCUUUCAAAACUAUAUCCCCCCUAACCUUAUCCUCUGAAUUUCUUCAAUCUUCCGUCUUAGAUCCGGAAUUGGCUCCCACCUCAAGCUUGGAUCCGAAAUUGGCUCUCGCCGUCAAGCUUGGAUCCAAAAUUGGCUCUCGUCGUCAGAGCUUUCUCCUCCGUUUUUACCUUUAAGAAAUCCAUUUACCGAAAACAACGUUCCCUGAAACGGCACAGAGAACAAGACAGCCUGAAACAGAAUCGAACCCCGUAAUCGGGACCACAUUGAGUCGCCCGACCAAUUCAGGUCCUAUAUUGGAAAAGAUGCCCGUAGUAACCUGGAUGUUCCCGUAAUUGGGUCAAAUUGGUCCUCGCGUCAGAUUGGCUAAGACCCGUAGUAAGACCUGGAUUUCCCGUAAUUAGACUGCAUUGGGUUGACCGGCCAAUUCAGGUCUCAUAUUGGAUAAGAGGACCCGGAUUGGAUUAUCGAAAUUGGAUCCAAUUGGCUCCUCGAACCCGUCGUGUGAAUUGGUCCUUCUCUUCCUGCUGACUCCCGUUAUUGGAAUCGAAUGGAGCAUUUCAGUAUGCCCCGGCUGACUGUAACGGAGUGACUGAACCUGACCACUCAGUAUUUGUACUGGAGUUGGUCGAUGCUCCCAAUAUUCAAGGUAACUGAAUAUUAAUAAAAUUCCCCUUUCUUUUUAUUUUCACUGUAUACUCGUGUUACAACACGACAUCCACCUCCUCUGAACCUGUGCAUCCUCCGGUAUGCACUAAUUUACCCAAUUGCGAUUUGAUUCAAAAUAUAUCCCCUACGUCUUUGUCCAGUUCGUCUUCGUCACCUUCAUUAUCCAAAUCACUUUCAUCUUCUUGAUGCGGAAUCUCUGUACCUUCAUUAAGGUCUUCCAUAUUCAUCUCUGCGUGUCUUCGUUUAAAUAUUUUUACUCGCUUCCCUGCAAUUGAUAUUUUCAAUUUUGUACCAUCUAACUCCAGUAAUGAGUAAGUCGCAUUAUCAUGAACAGUUGUUACAACAUAUGGUCCAAACCAACGUUUUGAAAAUUUCCGCAAAGUAUUAUGUUGAUUAUCCAGACUAUUGUCAUAAACAAGUACCCAGUCACCUUCCUCGAUUGCUUUUGGUCUCAAUUGAUGUUGCUUAUCGAAUCGCACCUUGUUUUGUAACCUUGCUCUUUUUAACCUUUCCAAUGCUAUCUGGACAUCUUCCGUUCUUUGCUCCAAUUGUUGAAUCCUAAUAGUCAGAAGUUCUUCUCUUGUCAAUCCAUCUUCCCAUGGUAGCAUACUCCAAGUAAGUACCUUUUCUUCAAUCGGCAUAAUUGGUUUUUGACCUGUCAUAAGUUCUACUGGCAUAUAUCCUAUCACCGAACUAUGUGUUGUUCGAUCAGCCCAUAAUGCAAAUGACAAAAGCCGUGGCCACUCUUUAACUUUUCCAUUAUAAGCUUUAACCAAUGCUUUCACAAUCGGCGGGUGACCGCGUUCGCUUUUCGCAUUCUCUUCCGGAUUAUAAGCAGUAGUCAGUGAUAGUUUAAUUCCACAUUUUUCAAAGAACUUACGAGCUUCUUAUGCAUUUAAUUCUCCACGAUCUGCAGUGAUUUUUCCUACGCACCCGUAACGGCAAAUGACAUCUUCAAGCAAAAACCUACAAAUCCCCUCUGUAGAUUUUGUCCUCAAUGCUCUUCCUUCUACUUGAUUUGAUAAAUCUUCACGAGCUAAAACCAAAUAUCUCAUCUGCCAUAACCCAACCGACAUAAUAACCAAAUCAACAACCCAUUUAAAAUGAAUAGCCAGAGGAUACGUAGGAUGAAGACCAUCUCGAUGUUGGAUAUUAGAAUACGAUUGACAGAUUUCACAUGACUCUACAAAUGAGAGCACAUCUCGAUACAUAUUUUUCUACCAAUAUCGUUCCUUGAGUUUAGCAAAAGUAGCCCAGAUUCUUCUAUGCCCUGCCCAUAAACUAUCAUGAAACUCCUUUAAUAAUUUUAGUUUUUCUUCCCUUUUGCCUAUCACUCGUUGUGGCAUCCCAAUUCCUUUCUUUGAUCUCUUCCAUAAGAAUCCAUCUCGAAGUAAAAAUCCAUAUGCUUUUUUUCUUAUUUGUUUGAAUUUUUCUGUAGACCAAUUCCCCUGCUUAGACAAGGUAUUCAAAUAAUGACCAAUAUCCAAUAAUUCUCCUUCAUAAGAUUCUUCAAGAAAUAGCUUGUCUUCUCUGUUGAGAUUUGAUAUUGAAUAGAAUUUCAAUCCGACAUCAUCAAUGUCUUCAACCAUUUCGUCCUCCCUCUCGUAUCUUGCUCGAGAUAGCAUGUCUACUACUAAAUUGUCCUUUCCAGUGAUAUGCUUAAAUUCUGGAUUUAGUGACUUAAUAUAAGCAAUCCAUCUCAACAUUGCAAUAUCUGGCGUUGAACAGUUAAUAAUCAUUCCAAGCAAUGGCAAGCAAUCUGUUUCAAUUGCUACUACUGUCCCAAUCAAAUAGUCCUUUUCAGCUUUCAUAGCCGAAACGACUCCCCAAAGUUCUCUUUUGACUUGCGAAUAUGCACACUGACGAAUACUUAAAACUUUAGUCCCAAAUCGAACUGCAAAUCUACUCCCAUUCAAAUCAUCUUGACCCACAGCCCAUCCAACGGCAAUUGGACUAGCGUCUACAGUAAGAAUCACUGGUCUAUUGCACUUAUAAUCAACCUUCCUCAAUAUUGGAGGUGACAUCAAUAAUUUCUUCAAUCUUUGCAUUGCCUGAAUAUGCCUUUCUUUCCAUUCAAAUCGGUAACCCUUGCGUAACAGUUCAUAUAAUGGAUCCACUAUGUGAGCAAAAUGAGGGAUCCAGAUUCGAUAAAAUACACAUGCACCCAAAAACCUGCGAACCUCUGUUAAAGAACCACAAUCUUCUUUCAUCCUUCCAAUUGCAUCAACUUUAGUCGGAUCUGGUUUUCUUCCGUAAGAUCCGCAUAAAUGUCCAACAAUUACAACCUCUCGCACUCCAAAUACGGACUUCAUACCCGAUAAUGUAAGAUGAACUUCUCCAAACCGAGUUAAAAUCUUUUCACAAUCUUGUAUAUGAUCAACAACAUAUCUGCGACACCCCCUCGUAUCUAAAGUUUCAUCCUUGUCUCCUUCUCUGCACCCUUUUAUAGGAACAUCAUCCAGAAAAGGCAUAGUCUUUUCUGGAAUAAAAUCUCUCAAUACCUUAUUCAUCCCAUUCAUCAUAUGCGCAACUGAGUUGGUCGCGCCUUGAGGAAGAGUGCACAUUCUAACCAAUCCAAGUGGUGUCCUCAUCGUUGUCAUAUCUCUACUUCCUUUGGUAAGUUGAAAUUGAUCAUAACCUGAAUACAAAUCACCCAUUGAAUAGAUCGCCCUUCCAGCAAAUGCCUCAGCAAAUUCAUCCACAAUAGGUCCAAUUCCUGCAUUCCUGACAGUUACAGUAUUCACCGGCUGCAUAUCUUGAAUAAACCGUAGUGACCCAUUCUUCUUAGGUACCGUAAACCAUCGACUAGAAUACGGCGCAAAUGAAGGUUCUAAUAUUUUCAUCUUUAUCUUUUCUUUCAAUAGUUCCACCAAUUUAGUUAAAUGUGCCCUCGGUACUGAAUCGGUCUUAGAUUCCAAGGUACAUGCGGUACAGUGAAGAUAACCAUAGGUGUUAUAAUAUUUGGAUCCACACACCCAAUUUCAUGAGAUUCGAAGGCAAACGAUCUACCUUGUUUAGCCAACAUCUUUUUGAAGCAAGUAAUUUCCUCCGGCAAUAAAGAACCAUCAGAACCAAUCUUCAAUUCUUCAAAAGUCUCUUCAGUAAACUGAUGUCCAAUACUCAUUGGAUCUCUUAAACUUGCUUCUUUUGAUGCUUCUCCCAUUUAUUCUUUAGAAUCCUCUGGUAAUGGUCCGGCAACAGGCUUUACCUUCUUAUCUGCUGUUUUAUAUCUCGUCUCUACUGUGACUUCUGGUGCUUGAAAAGAUUCAAGCAUGGUAUAAACCUCUCUCGAAUGAAUCUCAACAAUCUUAUCAUUAUCCCCUAACCCAAUAGAUGUAAUCAAUUCCAAUGAAUCUUCCAGUCCAUUUUCUUCAUAAACACCCAAAAUCCUCUCAUCAUCUUGCAAUGUAUCUAUCUUGCAUAACUGUCCUUCAAUAUCAUAUAAUCUUUUUCUUUCUUUUCUUUUAAAAUCAUCAACUUUUUUAUACAUAAUAUUUCCAUUCUCCAAUAUACCAAUAAAACUCGCAUCAAAGGCACCUUCAUCUCGCGAGAGUACCUCCUCUUUUGUACCUCCAUAAUCUCGCUUUACAAUGGUACCUCCCCAAAAUCCUUAAAUCCUUCAACAAUCUUUGGCAAUGGUUUCUCCCUCAACCUAUCUCGAUUCCGUUCAUGGUUAGGAGGUACUGUUAGAAAUUGUACAGCUUUCCUCCCAUCUUCGCUCCGUACCCUUGCAUAAGCCAAACCAUCAUCAAGUACCUUUGUUUCCAUCCGUGUUGCCGUGAUAUAAGGUUGUCCUAAAAUCAACGGAUAAGACGUUGUAUCUUGAACGAAGAAAUGUUGCUCCGUCGCAACAUUCCCAAUCCGAAUUUUGACAUCUGGACAAGCUCCAUAUAAUUUGCCUCGUGUGUUAUUAGCUGCUCGUAUAACCCAUCCAUGUUCCAUAUCAAUUGGCCAUUUUUACUUCUUAUAAAGAUCUUUAGACAUGAGAUUUAUUUCAGAACCAUGGUCCACUAAAGCAACUAUUGGUUCUUCUAUAUCUCCUACCUUCACCAAUACCUCAGUAGUUGCCCUUGCCCAAUGCUUUCGAGUAUAAUGGCUCAAAGUUUCCAUUCCCUUGUCACUAGAAUCUUCGAAACGUACUCGCUGAUUAUACCCAUUCUUUUCAUUUGUUGGUUGCUUGUAACCAAUAUCAACCUCUUCUUUAUCUCUACAUAUUCUUGCAUCAAUAGCAUGACUCAUUCCAGUUUCGCUCAUUAAUUGCCUCUUUCGCUUAAUGCUGUCAAUGAUAACAUCAUGAAACUCCUUCUUUGCAAUUCCCAAGACUUCUUUCAAUGUGAAUUCCACCUUAGCAUUUAAUAUACGUUCUUCCAACACCCCUUUCAAAUUUGUUGCCGCUUCAAUGUCAGAAAGUAGCUUAUAAGCAAUUAUUUUGCCCUUAUCUUUUGUCUCCGUUGUUUUUUCUCCCAAUGAUGCUGAGGUAUCCUUUACAGGCAAUUCUUGUGAAGCUGCCUCCCGAGCCUUGUCUCCUCGAGUUUGCCUCUUAAAAGAAUUUCCUUCUCUAGUAUCAUCAAAAUUUCCUCGUCUUUUUUCUUCCAUCAAAGCUUCAUGUUGGCUCUUAGCAAUAUAUGCAUGAACUGAAAGAGACUCAACAGGAUCCUCCCAACCUGUUCUUUCUCGUAUUGUAGCUGCAGUUCUCAAUAACGCUUCUCGAGGUAAUUUCCCUUCUUGCAUUGUAGAAACGGCAGAAGCCCAAAACUCACUAGUUUCCGUACUUCCACCAAUUUCAUCAUCUACUCUAGCACCAUAACUUGCACUUUCUCGUGCUACUGUUUCAUGCCCUUUUAAGUAAUCUUGAACCAAUGCUCUCAUUCCUCCCUUGCCAAAAUUGGUUUGAAGAAGAUCCUCCCUACCUUUCAAUACUAUCUUCCCAUCUUUCCAGUAAAUAAUUCCCUGCCGUAUCAUAUUAUUAAAUUCAUUGCAAACUUUUCUAGUGUGUGAAGCAUCAUCACACCAAAUGCAUCUUUGUACAUAUCCUUGUUUUGAAACAUUCUUCAAAUUGUUUAUAGAAGUAUUCUCUUCAAGUCUUGCCAAUUUGAUUUGAAGAUCUCGCAUUCCUCGUAUAAUUUCUUCCAUACCCAUAUCUGCUUUCUUUGACAAGGAUGUCGAAGGUUGAACUGUAGGCAUUGUCGGUGGUGUUGUACGUACUGGAGCUUUGGGUGCUUGUACUGUUUUCGGAAUAUUGCUCCUAUCCUUCCUCCUUUCUUUUUUUGUAAGCAACCCCACUGCAUCUUCAACAUUCUUCCACUUCGUUGUCAAUCCUUCAUCUUCUUCUUUGUCUUCAAGAAGGGAUUCUAAUUUCUCUUGCAAUUCUCCAUCAGCAGCUUGAAGAAAUAGAUCAACUUUAUUCGGCUCCAAUGUCAAUUUUUCUACCUUCGAUAAUUGAGAGUACUGCCUCUCAAAUUCCCUUAGUAGCUCUGUUGCUUGCAAAUUCUUAUUGGGCCGUUCAAUCCAUCCCAAAAACAGCUUCUUAGUAACGCGAUCAGCAUCUUUCAAGAAAUAUUCGUCUUUCAAUGCAUGUGAAAAAUCCUCCCAUGAAUUCCCACAACGAUCCGUAAUCGAUGUAAUGUGGUCCCUUAUCUCCGGUAUCGUGGCAAGUCCAAAUAGUGCAACCAUUUUCUUCUCAGAAACCCGAUUUAAUUCCAUUUCACGAACAUAACAUCUUAAAUACCUUGAAAUAUUCCUCCCAUCAAAUUGAUCAAUUUUAUUGACCACUGCUUGCAAUGCUUUGGUUGCCAAAGCUUCCUUUCGAUCAUUGCUUUGCUGUUGCUGCAUUGACAAUGAGAAGGCUUGAAACAAACUAGCAAUAGACGGAUCCAUGUACAUACCUUGUCCUUUAGAAGACUCCCUACCAGAAACUUCUUCCAAAAAUCCUUCAAAACUUUUAUUUUCGAUUUCCAUAAAAAUAAAGAUAAAAUCAACCGAAAUCCAAUACCUUCCACCUCAAGCUUUCAUGUCGGAUUCACCACUUAUGUCGUAUUACGUGCUUUCCUGCUCGAGAACGCGUCGGGCGUCUGGCUGUAGAAGGUAGUAUGGAGAUUCGCCCAUAGUCAAGCAGUCUAUCAAUUUUUGACUGCUGGAAUAUAAACGACUGCAACAAUGUACCGUAAAUCUAUACGGAUGCUCUUCGACUGCUUGUCGAAGUCUAUUUUUUUUUUUUUUUUUUUUUUUUUUUUGCCCCAGCCGGUAGGUCUUUAGACGUUAUAGAGAACCCCGAACAACCCAAACUGUUAAUCUUCAAUACCCCUUUGUACUUACGAUCUUGUAUCCACUGACUGUCUUGUUAGAUUAACCCAAUAAAUUUCAUUCACUCCGCAUACUCAAUCCUAUAGACACCCUUUUAAUCCUUCAAUCACAGACGUAACUCGAUUUUACAAAACAGUCAAGAGUAUUCAAACCCACUUCAUUUAAAAAUCUCGAUUCACCAUUACAAAACUAACUUUAGCAACGAUUGCCUCAGUCUUUCUAAAACUCUACGAAGAAGAAAAAUCCAAAUUCUAUGUCUUUCCUUCCCCGACCCGAAGCAUGAAGCUCCUCUCUUUAAUUCCCUUGAUCUUCAAAACCCUCCAAUGAAAACCGAACUGGUAACCUUACAAAAGCUUGAAAACUAGCUCCCCCCCCGAUUCCCCAAAAAAAAAUAAAAACCUCCCCCUUUCAAAACUAUAUCCCCCCUAACCUUAUCCUCUGAAUUUCUUCAAUCUUCCGUCUUAGAUCUGGAAUUGGCUCCCACCUCAAGCUUGGAUCCAAAAUUGGCUCUCGCCGUCAAGCUUGGAUCCAAAAUUGGCUCUCCUCAUCAGAGCUUUCUCCUCCGUUUUUACCUUUAAGAAAUCCAUUUACCGAAAACAACGUUUCCUGAAAGGGCACAGAGAACAGGACAGCCUGAAACAGAAUCGAACCCCGUAAUCGGGACCACAUUGAGUCGCCCGACCAAUUCAGGUCCUAUAUUGGAAAAGAUGCCCGUAGUAACCUGGAUGUUCCCGUAAUUGGGUCAAAUUGGUCCUCGCGUCAGAUUGACUAAGACCCGUAGUAAGACCUGGAUUUCCCGUAAUUAGACUGCAUUGGGUUGACCGGCCAAUUCAGGUCUCAUAUUGGAUAAGAGGACCCGGAUUGAAUUAUCGAAAUUGGAUCCAAUUGGCUCCUCGAACCCGUCGUGUGAAUUGGUCCUUCUCUUCCUACUGACUCCCGUUAUUGAAAUCGAAUGGAGCAUUUCAGUAUGCCCCGGCUGACUGUAACGGAGUGACUGAACCUGACCACUCAGUAUUUGUACUGGAGUUGGUCGAUGCUCCCAAUAUUCAAGGUAACUGAAUAUUAAUAAAAUUCCCCUUUCUUUUUAUUUUCACUGUAUACUCGUGUUACAACACGACAACGUUUACGUGUUCUUCAAGCACGUCAUGACUUUCCAGCAGUAGGGUACUUUGGAUAUAAUAAGACUUUGGAACUCAUAUCAAGAGAUUUUUGGUGGCCACAAAUGUGGAAGUCAGUCAAAGACUUUGUACAAUCAUGUGAUAUUUGUUCAAGAUCAAAAAUUCCUCGUCAUCGACCUUACGGACUUCUUCAGCCAUUACGUAUACCAGAACAACCAUGGUCUUCUGUUUCUAUGGAUUUCAUCACAGAUCUUCCAAGCUCAAGAUCUUAUGAUUCUAUAUUUGUGAUAGUAGAUCGUUUCACCAAGAUGGCACAUUUUGUGCCAUGUAUAAAAUCUAUCACAGGUGAAGAAACAGCUAAGCUUUUCAUUGAUAAUAUCUAUCGCUAUCAUGGAUUACCUAAAGAUAUCAUAUCUGAUAGGGGAACUCAAUUUGUGUGAAGAUUUUGGAGGACCCUUUUCAAGAUUUUAAAAGUGGACAUAAAGCUAUCUUCGGCUUUCCAUCCUCAAACUGAUGGACAAACAGAGCGCGUAAACCAAGUCUUGGAGCAAUAUUUAAGGUGUACUAUCAACUACCAACAAGAUGAUUGGACAACCCUUCUGCCAUUGAUAGAGUUUGCUUAUAAUAAUACGGUACAUUCUUCCACGCAACAAACACCUUUCUUUGCCAAUUAUGGCUAUCAUCCACGACUUGAUACUUUUGAUUUUUCAAAAGUUGAUAAUCGUGCAGCAGAAGAUAUGGCAAAUCGGUUGUCAGAGUUACAUGCAAUAAUGAAGACGCAAUUGAAGGAAGCUCAAGAAUGACAAAAGAUAAACGCAGAUCUAUAUCGUAAAGAGCAACCACAAAUCAACGUGGGUGAUAAGGUAUGGCUACUUCGUCGCAAUAUCAAGACUACUCGACCUUGUGACAAGUUGGACUAUCGUAGGCUUGGCCCCUUUUCUGUUUCUGAACAGAUCAACCCAGUUGCAUAUCGGUUACAUCUACCGGAGUCAAUGAAGAUCCAUCCUGUAUUCCACGUGUCUCUUCUUGAACCAUAUAAGACAGUGGAUAUACAAGGAAGAAGACAAAUGCCACCGCCUCCUAUAGAAGUAGAUAAUAAUGAAGAAUUUGAGGUGGAAGAGAUAUUAGACUCAAGGCGGCACCGAAAUAAGCUGGAAUAUCUUGUUCAUUGGCGCGGAUAUGAUAUUAGUGAACGCACAUGGGAGCCAUCCAGAAAUCUAGCAAAUGCAUCAGCUAAAGUCAAAGUUUUUCAUCAACGACAUCCAUCGAAACCAAGAUAAAAAUCUCUCUUAUAAAAGAAACAAGAUUGAGGCAAGAUAACAUUCAAUUUCCUAUCCUUGUUUGUAACUUCUUUGCAUUUGUGACGCUAAUUAGAUGGAGAGCCAACAACCAGCAGAUUCAACUCAAGAACCUUCGUUUGCUGACUUGCCGGACGAGACAUUACGAUUGUCACAACCUUCAAGACGACGCAAUCGAGAUGAACAUCUUCAAGAACGACAUGUUCUUCCUCGAAUAGAUGGUGAGAUACAACGCGUUUGGUAUCACGAUUUGGGAAGGGACUCCCGAUGUUUGGUGAUUUUGCUAGAGGUAGGAACAACUCCAGAUGGUGUUCCAAAUAUUCUAUUCGAAGGAAGUUACGAAGGCCUCAACAAUGAUCAAAUAAAUGGGUGGUCUUCCCGCCCUUGUAUGGGACACUACCGAUGAUUGAGAGGCCCUAUCAAUCAUCUUCGAAGAGAACAGAGAUCAGAGUAUGUGGCGAAUACAAUUCGUCGCAUCAUAGAUUUCUUCAACAUAUGAUGACCGCUCCUCGUGGAACUCGUCUCUAGAAGGGGGGGUAAUGUCACGGCCAUAAUCAUGUAAGCUAAUAAUUACAUAUAGGAAUAGGUAGAAGUAAGUAAAAAUAGAUAAAAGUAACUUAAUUCUAUAAUAUUUAAUAUAGAAGCUUCCUAGAAACUUCUUAGACGCUGCUUCGACUUCAUAGGUGUCUUUAAUUGACUUUUUGGAUUAGAAACGUGGUCAAUAAGUUGGCCAUGUGCCACACAUGUUGUUAGCUUGAAGAUUAAGCUAACUAUGUGGCCCACACGUAGAAAAACUUGCCUUGUAAGUCAAGGCAUGUGUCCUACAAAGUCAACACAUAUUGGAGGUCCUAUAGAACGUCGCCACGUAGCCCCUAGUUAGAUAGUAUAUAUAGAGACAAGAGUGAAGGCUUCUUCACUCUUGUCAACUCCUUUCUUGCUUCUAGUCUAGUUUCAAGGGUCUCUAGUUUUCUUGUCUUUUGGCAAUAGCCAUUCUAGUUUCUCUUUUCAAUAUACAUACUUAUUAUUCAUAUUUUGUUACUUUUCUUUGAGUGAAGGCUUACUUGUCUGAACUGUUUUUUCAUCGAGUUCUUGUCCUUGACAAAAUCUUCAUUCAAUAAUAUUUAUAAAUCAUCUAUAGUAUCAUCAAAAUAAGAUUUUUCAAAUACUUUUGAUAUGUAUUCAUCUUCACCAAUCACUCCACAUUUUUUUUUACUCAUGUUCUAUAUUUUUGAUAUUUUUCUUAUCUAUCCUUCUAAAAUUAUUUAUAUUUUUAAAUAUGAUAUAUCUAUCUCAUAUUAAUCCUAUAAUAUCUUCAUCCUUUCUACUAGGCAAAAAGCCUUCUCUCUUUUUACCAUUGCAAUUUUACUUUACAAUGGCAUCUAUUAAAAAUCCUUUGAGUCUUCAAGAUCUUCAAAUUCUUUGUAUAUCUUUGGCAAAGGAUGCUCUCUUAAACUAUUCCAAUUUCUUCCAUGAUUUGUACAAACUAUUAAAAAUUGCACUACCUUCUUUCUAUCUUGACUUCUUAUCCAUGCAAAAGUUGAUCCAUCAUCCAUAACCUUUAUCUCCAUUUGUGUGGCAGUAAUAUAUAGUUGCUUCAAUAUAAUAUGACAUGUAGACAUAUCUUGCACAAAGAAAUUUUCUUCAUGAAUAACAUCUCUUAUUGUCACCUUGAUAUUUAGACAAGUUUUACACAAAUCUUCCUUUGAAUUAUUUACUCCUCUUAUCAUCCACCCAUGCUCAAUAUCAAUAGGCCAAUUUUUCCUUUUAUACAAUUUUUUUGACAUUAAAUUGAUUUUAGAACCAUAAUCAAUCAAUGCUACAAUUGAUUCUUCUAAUUCUUAUAAUUUUACUAAAGUUUCUAUAGUAGCUCUUUUCCAAUAACUUCAAGAAUAAUGACUAGAAGCUUCAAUCAUAUCUUCUUUUCUUGUAAAUUUGACUCGUGAAACAUCUCUAACAAUUUACAUUCCAACUUCCUCAUCUUCAUUGCUUCCUAUUGCAUUUAUAUCUUGUACAUUUGAUAUCAUAGUAUCACCAAUAGAUUGCCGAUUUUUUUUUAUUGUAUCAAUAAUAACUUCAUAAAACUCUUGUUUUGCAAUUCUUAGAAUUUCACCAAUUAUAAAUUCAACCUUUCCAUUUAAAAUCCGCUCUUCCAAUAUCUUCUUCAAAUCUAUAGCAGCUUCUAUAUCUAAUUGUAAUUUAUAAGGCAGAACCUUUACUUUUUCUUUCACAAUCUCCUUCUUCUUUAUAGAAAUAUUCUCUGUUCUCUCUUCAUGCAUAGGAUUCUUCUAUUGUCGUGUUUUUUCUCUCCUUGUGAUUCUUUUUGAUGGCCUUUUGUGAUUUUCAUCUCUCCUUUGUUUUUUUUCUAUUAAUGUUUCAUAUUGACUCCUUGUAAUAUGAAUAUGAACCGAUAAUCUAUCUACUAAAUCAUCCCAUCCAAUAAUUUGCCAAAUAUUAUUGCCAACACUUUUUAAAUCAUCUCUAAUAAAUUUUUCUUUUUUAGCAUAAUUCGUUGCACUUGACCACAAAGAAAUAGAUUCUCCUUGAUACUCAAGAUUUAUACUUAAACAUUUGCUUGAAUUUGCUCCAACCAAAAUGUUGAUGCUUCAUUGCUUGAAAUUGUAUGUACUUUAAAAGCAUCUUCCACAAACACCUUCAUUCUUCUUUUAUCAAAAUUUGUCUCGAAUUUUCUCCACUCUCUUUUAAGUGUAUUAUACUAUCUUUAAAAAAAAUAAUUCCUUUGCAUAAUACCUUUAAAAAAAUCUUUACACUCUCUUCUUGAAUGAUCUAUGCUAUCACACCACAUGCACAUAUGUACUAUACCUUCCAUUGGUCUCAAUUUUUGGCUUGUUGACAUUCUUGAUGUUUGGCCUUUCUCCUCAAGUUUUACAAAUUUAAUUUGUAAAUCUCUUAUCCCAUGUAUGAUUUUAUUUAUACUUAUUUUUUCUUUCUUUGAUAUAGACAUUGAAGGUUGAGUCACAGAUAUAGAAUGAGUAGAAUGUAUUUUUGCCUUAGAUUCUUGCAAUGGUUUUUGAACACCCACCUUGUCCUUUCUUCUUUCUCAUUUUGUAAGUAAUCUUAUUGCCUCUUCUACUUUCUUUUAAUUUAUUGUCAAUCCUUCUUCUUCUUUUUCUAUAUCUUUAAGCAAAAUUUCCAACUUGUCUUGUAAUUCUCCAUCAGUUGCUUGAAGAAACAACUCCACUUUUCUUGGAUUUAAUAAUUAUCUUUCAUUUUUUGAUAAAGACAAAUAUUGUCUUGCAAACUCCUUUAAUAAUUUUGUUGCUUGGAGAUCCUUCUUAGAUCUUUCAAUCCACUCAAAAAAUAGCUUUUUUGUAACCUUAUCACUAUCUUCUAAAAAAUACUUAUCUUUCAAUGCUUGAGAUAAAUUUUUCUAUGAACCUCCAAAUUAUCCUAUAAUAGACUUCACAUGACUUCUUAUUUCUGGUGCAAUAGCCAGUUCAAAUAAAUGAAUCAUCUCCCUUUCAGAAACAUGCUUCAAUUCCAUUUCAUUUACAUAACACCUUAAAUACUUUGUAAUAUCCUUCCCUUCAAAUUGAUCAAUUUUCUCUACAACUACUUAUAAUGCUUUGUUUGCCAUACCUUCUUUGUAAUCUUUAACCUUUUGUUGUUGCAUGAAUAAGGCAAAUGCCUCAAACAUGCUUACAAAGGUGAGGUCAAAAUAUAUACCUUAUCCUCUAGUUGAAGCUCUUCUUCCAACUCCACUUCAAGCACCACUUCCAACUCUACUUGAAGCACCAUCAAAAACUCUUUCUUCUAUCUUCUUGCCUUCUUUCUCUAUAAUUCAAAUAAAUCAAAAAAAAAUUUUGAAAUACCUUCCACCUCAAGCUUUUCACAUCAAGUUCACCAAAAUAUGUUGUAUUAUGUGGCGUUUGGCUUGAAAAUGCACCAGACACCUAGCUGUGGAAGAUAAAAGGAAAAUUGUAACAACAAGUCCUAACAACUCUAAUAGAUUCUUAAACAAAUUAUAAUUAAAGAUUUGCAAGUAAAAUCAAAUAUCAAUCAAAUUCAAUAAAAAUUUCAAAGGAAUUAUGUAAGAAAUACAAAGUAUUUUUAAAGAUCCUUUAAAGAAAUCAUAAAAAAAGCAUAUAGAAAUUCAAAAAUAUACUAAAAUAAAAAUCUUCAUAAAAUAUUAAAAUAGAAACCUCAAUUAAAUUCUAAUCAAAUCCUAAUCAAACCUUAAAAAAUCCUAACCAAAUCCUAAUGAAAUCUUAAACAAAUCUUAACUAAAUCCUAAUCAAAUCCUAAAUAAAACCUAAUCAAAUCUUAAUCAAAUCCUAAUCAAAUCUUAUGCAAAUCCUAAUUAAAUCUUAACCAAAUCUUAGUCAGUCCUAAAUAAAUCCUUAUCAGAUCUUAACUAAAUCCUAACUAAAUCCUAAUCAAAUCCUAAUAAAUCAAAGCCAAAUCUUAAGUUAAUUUUAAACAAAUCUUAAUCAAACAUUGAUCAAACUCUAAACAAAACCUAAUCAAAUCCUAACUAAAUCUCUAUCAAAUCCUAGUCAAAUCUUAAUCAAAUCCUAAUCAAAUCCUAAUCAAAUCCUAGUCAAAUCUUAAUCAAAUCCUAAUCAAAUCCUAAUCAAAUCCUAAUUAAAUCUUAACCAAAUCUUAAUCAAAUCCUAAUAAAAUCCUAAUUAAAUCUUAAUAAAAUCUUAAUCAAAUCUUAAUUAAAUCUUAGUCAAUCCUAAAUAAAUCCUAAUCAAACAUUAAUAAAAUCCUAUUCAAUUCUAAAUAAAUCGUAUUCAAAUCCUAAUCAAAUUUUAAUCAAAUCUUAACCAAACCCUAAU
rnacentral:lncRNA from 1 species